UUUUUUUUUCGUUUUUCUUCUGUAGUUUUUUUCUUCGGCUUUUCAAUGCUUUGUCCAGUUGGUGAUGGUUUUUUUGUUCCUUUUACCUUUCAUUCUUUUUUCUUUUUCUUUUAUUUUCCUUUAUGUUUUUUCUUCUCAUUUUUUGUGUGUUCACCGCGUAUAACAACAAUGUUCAUCGUAUAUUAAGACAUGUUCACCAUAUAUUAUGAUAAAUUUCACCAUGCAAUAUAAAAAAGUUCAUCAUGUAUUACAAAAAUGUUCAUCAUACAUUAAUAAAAUGUUCAUGAUAUAUUACAAAAACGUUCACCGUACAUUAUAAAAAAGUUCAUCAUGUUUUAAGAAUUUGUCCAAUGAAUACUAAAAAAAAUUCUCUGUGUAUUUGAAACUUGUUCAGCAUAUUUUACAAAAAUAUUCAAUGUGUAUUCGAAAAUUAUUAAAUUAAUAUUACAAAAUGUUCAUUGUAUAUUAAAAAAUUGUUCAGUGUAUAUUAUAAAAAAGUUCAACGUACACUUAAAAUUGUUCAGCGUAUAUAGAAUUUUGUUCAUGUUUUUCUGUUUUUGUUCACGUUUCUUUGUUAUAAAGGUUUUUUCUAAUUUUGAAAUGUGUUCACAUUUUCAAACGUUAUUCGCAUUUAUUAAGAAAGAUUGUUCAUAUUUUUUCAAAAAAAAACUGAAAAUUUUGAAGGGAAAAACGAAUCUGUCAUUACUCCUUUGUACUUAUACCUUGGCGUUGCAAUCAAGGAGAGCACGGUUGCUACCUCAACUGGGUCCCGACGGUGCUUCCUUCCUCGAGGUAGUGAGUUCGACUCCAUGUGUUAACUUAAUUUUUUCCUCAUUCCCGAAGUUUUACAUUGGACGCUGCUAACAGGCCGGCCCGUUUUGCGCGCCCUUUUAGUGAAAGGAGGUCGUAUUGACGCACACGGGCGUCGAGCAGGAACUCUCGUUCGCGCGGCGGGUUGCAGUGACGCAAGGGGCGGCUUGAUCCGGCUAGAGCGGGCUUUCUCCGGGUUGGCCCAAAUCUCCGGGUUGACUUUGUCUUCUCUGAGUUGGAGUUUUAGUGCAAAUACCCAUGAUGGCAGCAUUGGAUCGAAUCUUUUAGGAAAAUCCUUUGACCCGGCGACUUAACAUUCACCAAAAUAGCCAUAAGAUGGCGGCGCAAUCCUAACUCCUCUCAACUUUGUAUAAUCCACUGCUGAAAAAUUCCCUUGAUCUUUGACGGAUGAAACUCCGAUUGAUGUGAAUCCUUUUCAAACAGGUUAUUUUUCAAUUGAUUUUUUUGUAAAACUUCUCGAUCUCUGGAAAAGAUCUCUCCAAGAACUCAACACCAUCAUGCGCGGGCCCCACGGUGGGCGCCAACUGUCGUGGAAUUGUCACAUCAGAUGUCCUUAACGGAAGGAUUUAGUCGUGAGGCCAACGCAUCUAUGUGGUAGCUUGAGAGGGGUUGAGCGGAAUCGAGAAACGCAACACAAGACGAGGAUUUAGACAGCUUCGGGCCCCGGGAAACAUCAUCCGGUAACAACCCUACAUGCUGUUUAAGGCUAGAUCUCAUUAUCAUCACGAGGGAGUCGCCGUAAAUCGGCUCUCCUCUAAUUGUGUCUAGCCCUAGAGAUUGUUGUUUGCUUUCCCUCCUUUGAGGAGCCCUGCCCCUCCUUAUAUAUGUUGAAGGGGCGGGUUACAUGUGGAGUCCAACUCGGACUUUAACUUAAACUAUUUUGACUUCCCUUUCUGGGCUUCUUAACGUCUGCCGAUUUAACAUUGUUUGUCGGUUUAACAUUGUCUGCCGGUUUAACAUUGUCUGUCGGUUUAACAUCAGUCGGUUUGCCGUCUGUCUUAGCCAUCUAUCUUGACUCUCUGCCUUAACUCUCUGCCGGUUUACCAUUCGCCGGUUUACCAAGUCCCAGCCGGUUUACAACUCCAGCCGGGUCAUACCGCGGGGUAUAUCCCCGACAGUACCCACGCUAACAUGGAUUAGAGUGUGUGUCACAUAGUUAGUUAAUUGAAUUAGAGUAUGUGUCACGUAGUUAGUAUUUGAAUUAGAGUGUGUGUCAAGUAGCGAUCUCCAAUUCUAACGUGGAUUUCGCAUUUCACUGUAUCCAUGCUACUUUUUUAAUACAAAUUCAUAUGUAUAUGAUGAACACCAUGGUAGUGAGAAAACUUUUGGAUGGAUUCAAACAUAUGACCUACAAAAUAGCACAACAAACUUAGUCAAUGUCAACUUUUCGAAACUUAGUAUGGCACGAAUUCAAAAUAAUUACCUGUAUGCCUGGUCCUCGGUUCAAAUCUUACAAUGUAAACCGAAUUGAAACAUCGAUAUUAAGUCUCGUACUGUGUACACUCANNNNNNNNNNNNNNNNNNNNNNNNNNNNNNNNNNNNNNNNNNNNNNNNNNNNNNNNNNNNNNNNNNNNNNNNNNNNNNNNNNNNNNNNNNNNNNNNNNNNNNNNNNNNNNNNNNNNNNNNNNNNNNNNNNNNNNNNNNNNNNNNNNNNNNNNNNNNNNNNNNNNNNNNNNNNNNNNNNNNNNNNNNNNNNNNNNNNNNNNNNNNNNNNNNNNNNNNNNNNNNNNNNNNNNNNNNNNNNNNNNNNNNNNNNNNNNNNNNNNNNNNNNNNNNNNNNNNNNNNNNNNNNNNNNNNNNNNNCCUAACCACCUUAGGAAGCUAUCGGUUUUCAACACACGUUCAUUCUUUCUCUCCAUGUUUCGAUCUCUAGGUCUCUCAACUACACAACCCCUUUUUCCACUCUGUUACCAAAUGUAUUUACCUCACACACCCGCCAUUGCACCCCAUGCCGAGCUCUCUCUUCCCCUCCCACCCUCUCCCUCUCACCCUCUCGCGCUAAAUACAUGCAUUGCCUAUCUAGCCCCCCAACCUCUCGUGCAUGCGCAUGCACGCAUGUUGUAUAUCUAGGUCACUCCCUUGAGACUGUGUCACUCUUUCUUCCGCACGGCGGGCCACACUCGCUCAAUCUCGCUCUCUUUAUCUAUGUCUCGUUUAACCUCAUUUUCUUUCACACACAAAUGAUAUAUCUCCCUGUUCAGGCCUCGAUCGACACACUCUAUACUCUCUCACGCAGAUUGUCUAUCUAGGUCAGUCCAUCCAAGACGCCGCCACUCUUCCGACCUCAUGGUGGGCCAUGCUCACUCAAUCUCUCUCUCUCUCUGUCUCUCUCUCUCUCCGUAUGUCUCGAUUAACCUCGCUCUUUCUCGGACAAAAAUGAUAUAUCACCAUGUUUGAGCCCAAUUCGACCUAUUCACAUUGUAUAUUCUCUCACGCACAUUGUCUAUCUAGGUCACUCUCUCCAACCCGUCUCACUCUUUCGAUCGCACGGCGACCCUAUGUGAUCGGUUGACCUUGCUUCCUCCCACGCACAAAAUAUAUCUACACGUAUGUGACUGGAUCAUCUCUCAAGCUCUAUCUUAUAGCCCUCACCCUUGCCAAAAAGCUCAAUCGGACAAUAUCUCUCCAGAGCAUAUAUAUUUGUUCAAUGAAUGUCAGACCACACUCACUUUGUCACUCUAUCUAUAUGUCUCUCGAUUAACCUCGCUUUCUCACACCAUAUCUUCCACGCGUUGAAGCUACUACCUCUCCAUCCCUCGCAAAGCCGGAGCUAUUUACAUUGCGAGGGGCACUCCAACCUUGGAUUAAUUUGUGUAGGCAUUUAUUCCGGUCGGUUUAGAUUAUAUUUUCGUAGCAUUUGGCCCACAAGUACUCCAAUCAUCGUAGCGGGUAAUUAAGCUACGGGGAGCACCUAAUACAAGAACCGGGGAGCCGUUGGAUUGAAGAUGCAGCGGCACACACGAGGCCUGAAUGUUUUAUUUGCAAAAAAACCUUUGGAGAGUUUGGAAAUUGCGCAUAAUUACAGAGACUACUCCCAAGCCAUUGGAUCUCACUUCCAAUGGUGUAAAAACUCGUAUCACCAUAGUAUCUAAGCUGCGGGGUGGAUGUGAUAUUCUAUGCCGCUGUCAUUUUUGUUCAUAAACUUGCAAAAAACGUGUAACUCGUGCCGUUACUUGUCUAACCGCGCAAAGUGUUUGUUCAAAAAAACCAUCCUACACUGAAAUAUCGGAACAACACACGGGGGUCCCACUUGUCAUUAAUCAAAUUUGGACCUAAAACUAACAAAUCUGAAAGACGAGAUUCGAACUGGCAACCUGGACUACAAAGCGUAAGUCGAUAGCCUGAAAAAAUGAACGCUUGUUGGCUUUGUCCCAUAACUUGAUUUUAUACAGUACUUGCGUUGAGUAGAGUAGAGGGACUGCCUCGUCAACACGUGCAUGACCGUUAUCUCACUUACUGGUGGGUCCCAGGUCUGCGAUCUCAAUCUCUCUUCUCUCCAUCGUCUUACCUUUGCACGGGCACACACGAAGAGCGGCGCUAGCUUGCCGUGGUGUUAUUACAGCUAAAAAAACUUGGAAAAUAGAAGAAUCGCCUAGAACAAGAGACGUUGUGGCUGGUCGAGACGGAGCUAACCACAUCUAUCCUCUGUGCCACGUUUGCAUGAUGAAGUUGUGUGGCUAGUGGGCUGUUUUCAACCGACUGGCUGGGUCCCGAGGUCGAACCAUAGGUACUACGUCUGAUAUAGUAUAUUUUUACACGCACAUUUUUCCUCCGUGCCGAGACGUGGCACACCCUACCGCGUGGUUUCGGGGUCCUCCCGGGUGGUGCACGCAUAUAUUCUUCCUGACGUGGGACGCCCUACCGCGCGUUUUCUGUGUCCUCCUCGGUCGUAGCGCCGAAGCAAGUAAAUGAGUCGUCAAAUCACGAAAGACCACCUUUCCCGCCGAGUACAUUAGUGAAGCAUGGUGGCUAGCUAGUUGGGCUAGUUUGACGGAUUAGCUAGGCCGCUGCCACAUUUGGUUUUUCACCCCUUUUUUUAUCUACUUGCCGGCAGGUAAAUUUAAAUAUCCACCGCGGCGUUGCUCUGGUGUUUGGGCGUGGCAGGAUUUUUAAUUUUUUGAUUGACGGGAGCAGGCGCGGCAGGAUUUUUAAUUUUUUGAUUGACGGGAGAAGGCGCGGCAGCAAUUAGUCACGAUGACUCCGCCUGUACCCACUUCUCCCUGAUGUGAGAAAUCGUCGACUGGUGUUUUACCGUGGUGAAAACCAAAAGAUUCCCCGCUCCCUCCGCCUUCCCGUAGAUUGCAUUGCCUUUCAGCCGUUUCGCCCCCUUUGCUUCCUCUCCCCAUUGCUUCUACAUGGUGCCAUGGCGGCGCAGUAGAUCAUGGAGUCCGAGGUGAGGCUCCUGACACAGGAGCUCCAUGCCAAGGAUGCGGAGCUCAGGGCCAAGGACGUGGAGCUCCGUGAGCUCAAGGAGGAGAGGAGUGCCAUGCCCCUCCGUUAUGUGUGGGAGUUCACGGAGCUUCAAAAGCGGCAGGCGUCCACCACAAAGAUGCUCGAGGCGUUGGCGGCGUUGCUGCAGAAAGCGGGAGAUGCGAUAGGCCGUCAGGGGAGCCGGCUGGAGCGCGAGCGGGCCGAUCGUGACGAGGUCCAGGAUCGCCUCAGCCACUUGGUGAACCAAGUUGCCACGCACGUGUUGCGGCUGCGCGAUGCCUACCGUCGUGCCAGCACGAUGAUGCCAGCCGUCGGGCUAAACCCGUUCGACCACCCGGUCGACUUCAACGAGCUGCGGCUUCCUGACCUGGUCUCCUUCUUCACCUAUAUCUCCGAGGAGCUGAGCCAUCUCCGCGCGAUGGUGGGGGCUGAGCUGGACAAGGAGGGGUUGCGGGCUGCCGUCGCCAUUGCUGGGCGAAUCCUUUCAGGGCUCCGUCACCGGAAUCCAUUCGUGCCAUUGGACGCCGUCUUUGACGAGCUGGCUCCCGUCGACUGGGAGCGGGCUCUGCGGGCGGUUGCACCCUGCGUCACCAACGUCGUGCGCCUCAAGAAGCAAAGGGACUUCGGUGGUGUUUAGGCGCCUCUGCAUGGGCAUGUCCAUGUCUCGGUGCAACAUGACCGUUGGAUCAAACUCAGAUGGUGCAGAUUAGUCAUUGUAUCACAAAGCGUGUGGGUGUGUUUGGUUGCAUUCUCAUCUCAAUAUAGUUGUUUCCUCUUCGUGUAUUUUUGUCAACCUACUAGUGUGGACUCAUGCACCCUUCAUGCACUUUGCCAAACACCCAAAAGUGGGUCGAGAAGGGAACUUUUGCUCCCAUCCCGUGCACCCUUCAUACACUGUAGGAUCGAAAGUAUGUCUAGAGGGGGGUGAUUAGACUACUUGACCAAAUAAAAACUUAACCUUUUCCCAAUUUUAGUUCUUGGCAGAUUUUAGCUAUUGUAGGACAAGUCAAGCAAUCAUCACACAAUUCAAGCAAGCAUGCAAAGAGUAUAUUGGCAGAGUAAAGCAUGCAACAUGCAAGAAUGUAAAGGAAAGGGUUUGGAGAAUUCAAACGCAAUUGGAGACACGGAUGUUUUUCCCGUGGUUCGGAUAGGUGGUGCUAUCCUACAUCCACGUUGAUGGAGACUUCAACCCACGAAGGGUAACGGUUGCACGAGUCCACGGAGGGCUCCACCCAUGAAGGGUAAUGGUUGCGCGAGUCCACGGAGGGCUCCACCCAUGAAGGGUAAUGGUUGCGCGAGUCCACGGAGGGCUCCACCCACGAAGGGUCCACGAAGAAGCAACCACCCAUGAAGGGUCCACGAAGAAGCAACCUUGUCUAUCCCACCAUGGCCAUCGCCCAUGAAGGACUUGCCUCACUACCGGUAGAUCUUCACGAAGUAGGCGAUCUCCUUGCCCUUACAAACUCCUUGGUUCAACUCCACAAUCUUGUCGGAGGCUCCCAAGUGACACCUAGCCAAUCUAGGAGACACCACUCUCCAAGAAGUAACAAAUGGUGUGUUCAUGAUGAACUCCUUGCUCUUGUGCUUCAAAUGAUAGUCUCCCCAACACUCAACUCUCUCUCUCAUAGGAUUUGGAUUUUGUGGAAAGAAGAUUUGAGUGGAAAGCAACUUGGGAAGGCUAGAGAUCAAGAUUCAUAUGGUAGGAAUGGAAUAUCUUGGUCUCAACACAUGAGUAGGUGGUUCUCUCUGAGAACAUAUGAGUUGGAAUUGUGUAUGUGUUCUAAUGGCUCUCUCCACGAAUGAAGAGGAGGUGGAGGGGUAUAUAUAGCCUCCACACAAAAUCCAACCGUUACACACAGUUUUCCAAUCUCGGUGGGACCGAAUCAACAAACUCGGUCGGACCGAAAAGGCAAACCUAGUGAUCCUUAGAGAUUUUCGGUGGGACUGACAUGCAACUCGGUAGGACCGAUAUGGUUAGGGUUUGGGCAUAACGUAAUCUUGGUGAGACCGAUUACACAAACUCAGUGAGACCGAGUUUGGUAAUAAGCUAACCAGAGAGUUGGUCAGGUAAACUCGGUGGGACCGAUUUGCUCUUUCGGUGAGACCGAAAAGUUACAAAAAGGAAACAAAGAGUUUACACUGCAAUCUCGGUGGGACGGAUUCGCUCUUUCGGUGAGACCGAAAAGUUACAAAAGGGAAACAGACAGUUUGCAAUCCCAUCUCGGUGAGACCGAGAUCCCUAUCGGUAGAACCGAAUUUCUAGGGUUUGGCAGUGGCUUAUGACAAGUGAAACUCGGUGGCGCCGGAUAGGAAUAAUCAGUAGGACCGAGUUUGGCUUAGGGUUUAGGUCAUAUGUGGAUAUGGGAAAGUAGUUGAGGGUUUUGGAGCAUAUCACUAAGCACAUGAAGCAAGAGGCUCAUUAAGCAACACCUCAUCCCUCCUUGAUAGUAUUGGCUUUUCCUAAAGACUCAAUGUGAUCUUGGAUCACUAAAAUAUAAAAUGAAGAGUCUUGAGCUUUUGAGCUUGAGCCAAUCCUUUGUCCUUAGCAUUUUGAGGGUUCCACUUUCACAUCCAUGCCAUGCCAAUCAUUGAGCUUUCCUGAAAUAGUCAUCUUGGAAUAGCAUUAGCUCAAUGAGCUAUAUGUUGUUAUGAAUUACCAAAACCACCUAGGGAUAGUUGCACUUUCAAUCUCCCCCUUUUUGGUAAUUGAUGACAACAUAUAGAUCAAAUCUUCGACAAAUGAUAAUAAGCAUGAAAUAUAUCGUCGCUUUGAGAAGUAUGUGACAAGUAAGAGCUCCCCCUAAAUUUGUGCAUAUUUAAAAUUUGCUUUGGACUGCAAAUGCACAAAGAGUUAGAGUCAUGGGUUACUCUUCCAUGUCACAUAUAUCUUGGUGGAGCGCUUAAAAUGAUAAGAAUGAAAUACAUGCACUCAUCACCAAGAAUAGUGAAUGAUCACAUAAGAUAGAUAAGAUGAUAAUAUUAAGCAAACAUUAAGUGUAGCUUAUGAUCAAACACAUGAUCAUCAAUGUCUCACGAGCAAUGACAUAGUACCUCACACAAAAGCAAACAAAGUUCGAAAAACCACGAAAUAAAACAAGAGAGAAUAAAAGCAACACUAAAAGCAACACUCUCUCUCGAAGCCUAUGAUCUAUGCAUUUUCUCCCCCUUUGGCAACAAGUUACCAAAAAGUUCCUAGAAAAUGCAUAGUGCUAAGUCGACACUCAGGCUUGAUCUUCAGGUGGUGGUGGAGUCCGGAGCACUCCAAGGACGAAGCCUUCUGUAGACGUGGUCGGAGUCGAGGCUGAAGUGGACGCUGGAGCUGGUGGAACUGAGGCUGUAGCUGGUGCAGACGUGGUGGCUCUGGGGUCAGCAACUGGCACGGUAGACGACCUCGGACCUCGUGGCACUCUGGCAAAGGCAUCAGUUGUAGUCUUGCGUCUCCUCUCCUGCAUGUCAUCCUGGAGCUGCUCCACUGCAGUCUGAAUCUCUGUCACUUUGACAUCCAAGUCAUAGAACUUUUGUUCCAUGAUCCUCUCUAAGCUUGCCUGGUUCUGAGUUAGGGUGGCUAGUCCUUGCUCAAUCCGCAGGGUGGAUGCAAUCAAGUAACCAAGCUGCUCUUGUUUAGUUUUCAGGAAAUAUUCAGAUGCCUCCUCUUGAGUAGGCAUCUUGGCAGCUUUCUCCUUCCUCGCCUUCUCCUUCUUGGCUUGUGCUUGGGCAGAUGAUGGCUCAUUCUCAGUCAUGACCACUUGAUUAUCUUCAAAGUCUGGACAGAUGGGCAGGUGUUCCUUGUCCAAUAAGUAUAUGCCCGUGCCCAUCUUAGAGUUGAUGAGCUCCGAAAUCUGUGGGGCAUAUCCACAGCUCCUCUUCUGGUCUGCUGCUGUCCUCUUGAUUGUUUCAAUCAUAAGGCUCAUGACUUUGAAUUUCUGUGGCACGUCAAAGAUAUGAAGCAAGUUGAUCGCGUGGCCCCUGAUCAUCUUGUGAUCUCCAGACUUGGGCAAUAGGGUGUGCCUAAGAAUCCAAUUGAUGGUUGGCAGCCCUGACAGAAGAUAGUAUACUGAGCCAAACUUGAACGUAUCAAGUGCUUCAUUUGGAAUCUCCUUGUACAUGUUUGACAUUGAGUUGUGGUCCAUCUUCUUCUUGGCAUAAAUGUCCAAGUCAUCGUCAUGCUCUUCUGGGGCAUUAAUCAGCUGAGCCCAUUCAGCAACUGUAGACUGGUACCUCGUACCCUCUGACAUCCAUACAAUCCUGCCAUCUGGAUAGAAGUGGGCUGUGGAGUAGAAGUGCAUGAUGAGUUCCUCGUUCCACUUUGUGAGCUUCUUCCCAACAAAGUCCUCUACUCCACAUGCCUUGAAGCUGUCCUGCACUCCAGGGUAGUACUCUUUGUUGUCCUUGAUGUAUUGCCAAUCAACCCAUCUCAUAUCACAGACAAUUGGCUUCUUGUCUAGCAGCACUGUCUCAUAAAAGUCUUGCUGCUCCUUGGUGUGAAACCUGUAGUCAACUGCAGUCCUUCUCCUUGAAGCAUACGGGUCUGCUUCUCUCCACUUCCGGAGCCCUGAAUCUCUCCUGAGUUUCAUAUCCUCAGCCACAGGAUGAGCAUCGUUGUGGUCUGGGAUCUUGGGCUUGAGCUUUCUAAGAACAUUCUCUUCUUGUUCUUCUGCAGCCUCAGGCAUUGGGGCCUUGUUCUUCUCAGUACCUGGGAUGCUUCUUGUGUUCCUCUUUGGCUUUGGCUUUGGAGCUGGCUUGGCCUUGGAAGCAGCUGCCCCUGUUCUUAUGGCAUCACCCAUCAGCUUGGGUGCCUUAGGUGCUGGUGCAGCUACCUCUUCUUCUUCCUCCUCAUCUUCCAUGAUGGAAGCCUUGCCAAGCACUCUGGCUACAGUUUUCUUCACCCUUUCUUUCCUCUUCUUGCCUUCAGCAGCAACUGGCUCAAUGGGAGUGGGCUUCUCAGUUGAAGCUCUGGCCUUUGACAUAGGCUGCCUGCUGGCCUUUUGAUCUUCAUCCCUGGUUUUAUGCCCUGUGCUGGCACAACUCUCUUGGAAGUUGCUUCCUCUUCUGCCACAUAAUCCUCAUCUUCUGAGUCUGAGGUUCUCUUCUUUCUCUAUCUUGUGGCAGCUUUAGGCAGAUUGCUAGGGGUGCUCCUGCUGCCAUCAUCUGAGGAACUUGAGGGACUAGUGCCCUCACUCAUCUGCACUUGCUGCUCUGACAAGUUUUGGCUAUCACUUUGGUCUGACAUGAUGCAAACUCUGACUGCUGACCCUGUGAAUAGGUUAUAGAUGAGAUAGAGUGGAUGAGCAUCACAAAAUGCAGAGAUUUUUGCAAAAGAAUAAUUCAAAAACUUAGUUUUAGUUUCCCACUGAAAGCAUCUCGGAUCUACCGAUUUCUAAACUCGGUGAUACCGAAGCAGUUUUGGCACCUAAACUAGUGAACUCGGUCAGACCGAGUCACAGUUCGGUGGCACCGAGACUGCUGGGGUUUCACAGAGUUCCAAAAUCGGUCGCACCAAUAAGUAAUUCUCAGUCAGACCGAGUCUCACUUGUGCAAUGGCAUAAGCCAAAUCGGUGGGACUGAGUUUUUCAACUCGGUGGGUCCGAGAUGGUUUCGGCGGAAACCUAACCCUAAAAUUUUCGAAUUAAACCUAAUCUACGAGUUCAUUGACUGGAUAGAAGGUUAACAAACGUGGCAAGAAUCAUGAUGAUCACAAUGUGCUAAGAAUCGGAUUGGGGAAUAGCACAAAGAUCGAGCCCAUACCCUAGUUCGGCGGAGACUCGCUACGGCGGCAACGGCGGGGUUGAAUUUCCGUUGACGGCGACGGAGACCAGCGACUGGAGGCGGCUGGCGGCGAGGAGACGAUCCGGAGACCAAGUUGGCAGAGCAGGCUAUCGCGCGGGCGAAGGGGUUCGGAGAAAUUUCCAAAUUUUUGCCCGUGACUAUAUAUAGCCCGACCCUAUCGGUGUGACCGAGUGAAACAACUCGGUGGCACCGAGAUGCAAAACUGUAUACAGUUGUUGCAACUCGGUGUGACCGAAUGGUUCAAAUCGGUUGCACCGAGAUCGAAAACCUAGAUCAACUUAAUGAUCUCGGUAGGACCGAAAGUAGGGUAUCGGUCAGACCGAGAAUCAUAAAGAGGUUUUGGAAGUUUAAGUCUAUGACGAAUCGGGGACUCCGAGCGCUCCUCACACAGAGUGGUUCGAAUCUGACUUGAUCAAAUUUUGUGAUGUAGCAUGAAUAGAGUUUGAGACGAGAAAAGCAUGGAUAGCUAGAGGAGGUUCUUAGGCAUUCUUGUCCAUCCACUUGGCAAAAGGAAAUAAAACCAAACAAUCAAAAAAACAAGUGGAUGUCCUCGAAUGAGUAAAAUAUGCAACCAGCAUGCUCACACAAUAAGAUGGCAAAUGAAAUAUGUGACAAGGCAUGCACAACCAAUUCUAGCAUCUAUCAAGCAAUUUGCGAUGACAAGGUCAUUUAUAUAUGAGUAUAUUGACUUAGGAGUCAAGUGAGAACACUUGAUCAUAGGUCAUACUCAUCGUUUAAGCUCAAGUGGGGUUACCACUUUUACAUAAAGCAUUGUUGUGUUCACAUCUUUAGAGUUGCUUUAGCUCAAGUCUUAGAGUAAAGCUCCCCCUAGAUGUGAUAUCUCCCCUUAGAGGGAUGAACUAACCUCGGGUUUUGUCGAUGAUGACUUCAUGUAGAUGUUGAAGAUGUGGAUGCUCAAUGUUGAUGUAGAUCACUUGGAGCUAUCCAUUUGAGUGAAUUGCACUUUCAAUACCUACAUGGGUUAGUCCCACAAGGAACAAACAAGGAUAUCCAUAGACAUAGAGUGAUGCACACACAAGAUGAUGUCCAUGAAAACUUUUAGGUUACCUUGUCCCUUGUCUUACCAACAAGAGGGUUUGUGACUCCUUGAACUAGUGCAAGAUGUGGAAGUUGAUUGCACUUGUUCUUGCCAAAAUGAUAAGAGUGAAGUAUGUUGGCGGAGUCACCCUCAAGAACUCUCUAGUUCUUCUUCUUUUGGAUCCACACCAUCUUGAUGGGAAUCCUUGGAGUUGUAGUCGUACUUGAUGAAGUGGAACUUGAAGUAGUCUUGGGAAUCCACUUGACUAAGGUCUUAGGAGCUUCUUCAAAUGCAUCAAUUUCCUCUUGAAGCUUGUCCUUGCCUUUUUGCUUGUAGUCUUGUGGUGGAAGAUCAUCUUGAGCUUGUGUCCCCUUGAAAUAAGUAUCAUACUUCUCUUGUUGAGGAACAAACUUUGUCUUGGGGUAUUGAUCUUCUUACCACUCAACUCCAUUGGCAUUGAACUUUCGUUCAAAACCAACACCUUGAUUCUUCCGGUGCAUUCCUUGCUUGCGCACAAUUUCCUCGAAUUGCUUACUCCCGGCAAGGCUUUUGUACACUCCUUUCUCUAUAAUUCCCUUCAAUAAGCUAUUUUCUUGCUCAAGUGUAACUUGGCUAAGAGAAUCAUUAGUGGAAUCAAGAGAACUACUAGAAGCAACAAUAUUGGAUUUAGCAUGAUCAUUGUUACUGCUAGAGGAAGAAUCUUUCUUGUUCUUGUUACUAGACUUGACUUGAGGCAUGUAAGUGGAUAAGAGUAAACGCUUGGCAAUGUAAGAAGAACUUUUCUUGCGGAGAUCAUCAUUGAUUGCUUUUAAGAACUCAUGCUCUUGCUCAAGAUUGAGCUUUUCAAAGCGUAAUUUCUCAUGAGCUCUUAAAAGUUCUCGAUGAUCUUCGAAGAUAGUUUCAUGAGCUAACUUAAGAGUGUUUAGUUCUUUAGUUAGAGCCUCAAUCUUCUCCUUAUCAUUGUCAUUCGUUUUAUCUUGAUUAGCAUGAUUAAUUGACGUUUCAUCAUAGUAUUCAUCACUAGAGUUGUCAACAAGCAAAUAAUCACCUAACAAGUCAUCUUCAUCACUAUUGAAAUCAACAUACUCGGGGUGUGUUACCUUAGGACCUUUGGCCAUGAAGCAUCUUCCAAUUCCUUCAUUUGGUGAGUCAAAUAUGUCGUAGGAGUUGGUUGACACAAGUGCUAGACCGGCAACACCUUCAUCUUGAGUAUCUUCGGAGUCGGAGUGAUAACUUCUCUCGGAGUGGCUGUCGGAGUCGGAGCCGGAUACCCAUUCACCAACAUGAGCUUGAUGUCUUCGUUUUGUGUAGCUCCUUGAUGAUUUUUCCUUCCUUUCCGAAUCCUUGCUUCUCCGUGAGUAUCUUCGUUCAUAACGAUCAUCUCUACUCCUUCUCUCUCUUGGUGGUGAUUCUUUGCUUCUUCUUUUUGGAGAAUCUUCUCUUCUCUUGUAGGGAGCCGUACACUCAUUGGAAUAGUGUCCGGGUCUUCCACAACUGUAGCAGUUUCGCUCUCGACUAGAAGAUCUUUUGUCAUUGUAGGACCUUGACUUGAAGCUUCUAUCUUUGCUUCUACUCUUGUAGAACUUGUUGAAGUUCUUCACCAUUAAGCUCAAUUCUUCAUUGAAGUUUUGUUUCUCACUUGAUGAUGUAGGGGCUUCACAUGAGGCUUCAUAGGCACCACUUGAUUUGUUGUGAAGUUCCUCUUUAUCCUUAAGUGACAUCUCAUGAGCAACAAUUCUUCCAAUCACCUCCGUUGGCUUGAGAUCUUUGUAAUUGGGCAUCAUUUGGAUCAAUGUGCACACGGUAUCGUAUUUUCCAUCCAAGGCUCUUAGAAUCUUCUUGAUGAUGAAUCUAUCGGUCAUCUCUUCACUUCCUAAGCCGGCAAUCUCAUUUGUGAUGAGAGCAAGCCUAGAGUACAUUUCAGCGACACCUUCACCAUCCUUCAUUUUGAACUUGUCAAGUUGACUUUGAAGCACAUCCAACUUGGAUUCCUUGACGGAGUCGGUACCUUCGUGCAUAUCAAUCAAAGUGUCCCAAAUUUCCUUUGCAUUCUCAAGACGGCUGAUUUUGUUGAAUUCUUCGGGGCACAAUCCGUUGAAGAGAAUAUCACAAGCUUGAGCAUUGUAUUGCAACAUCUUCAACUCAUCCGUGGUAGCUUCACGGUUUGGUUCUUUCCCAUCAAAGAAGUCACCUUGCAAACCAACACACACAAUAGCCCAAACGGCGGGGUCAUGUCCAAGAAUAUGCAUUUUCAUUUUAUGCUUCCAACUAGCAAAAUUAGUACCAUCAAAGUAAGGACCUCUACGGUGAUAAUUUCCCUCGCUAGACGCCAUACUCUCCUAGGUUGUGAAACCAAGGCUAUGACCACCAAAAGCUAUGGAGAUCAAAGAAAAUGGAGACCAAAGCUCUAAUACCACUUGUAGGAUCGAAAGUAUGUCUAGAGGGGGGGUGAUUAGACUACUUGACCAAAUAAAAACUUAACCUUUUCCCAAUUUUAGUUCUUGGCAGAUUUUAGCUAUUGUAGGACAAGUCAAGCAAUGAUCACACAAUUCAAGCAAGCAUGCAAAGAGUAUAUUGGCAGCGGAAAGUAAAGCAUGCAACUUGCAAGAAUGUAAAGGGAAGGGUUUGGAGAAUUCAAACGCAAUUGGAGACACGGAUGUUUUUCCCGUGGUUCGGAUAGGUGGUGCUAUCCUAAAUCCACGUUGAUGGAGACUUCAACCCACGAAGGGUAACGGUUGCGCGAGUCCACGGAGGGCUCCACCCACGAAGGGUAAUGGUUGCACGAGUCCACGGAGGGCUCCACCCACGAAGGGUAAUGGUUGCGCGAGUCCACGGAGGGCUCCACCCACGAAGGGUCCACGAAGAAGCAACCACCCACGAAGGGUCCACGAAGAAGCAACCUUGUCUAUCCCACCAUGGCCAUCGCCCACGAAGGACUUGCCUCACUAGCGGUAGAUCUUCACAAAGUAGGCGAUCUCCUUGCCCUUACAAACUGCUUGGUUCAACUCCACAAUCUUGUCAGAGGCUCCCAAGUGACACCUAGCCAAUCUAGGAGACACCACUCUCCAAGAAGUAACAAAUGGUGUGUUGAUGAUGAACUCCUUGCUCUUGUGCUUCAAAUGAUAGUCUCCCCAACACUCAACUCUCUCUCUCAUAGGAUUUGGAUUUUGUGGAAAGAAGAUUUGAGUGGAAAGCAACUUGGGAAGGCUAGAGAUCAAGAUUCAUAUGGUAGGAAUGGAAUAUCUUGGUCUCAACACAUGAGUAGGUGGUUCUCUCUGAGAACAUAUGAGUUGGAAUUGUGUAUGUGUUCUGAUGGCUCUCUCCACGAAUGAAGAGGAGGUGGAGGGGUAUAUAUAGCCUCCACACAAAAUCCAACCGUUACACACAGUUUUCCAAUCUCGGUGGGACCGAAUCAACAAACUCGGUCGAACCGAAAAGGCAAACCUAGUGACCGUUAGAGAUUUUUGGUGGGACUGACAUGCAACUCGGUAGGACCGAUAUGGUUAGGGUUUGGGCAUAAUGUAAUCUCGGUGAGACCGAUUACACAAACUCGGUGAGACCGAGUUUGGUAAUAAGCUAACCAGAGAGUUGGUCAGGUAAACUCGGUGGGACCGAUUUGCUCUUUCGGUGAGACCGAAAAGUUACAAAAAGGAAACAAAGAGUUUACACUGCAAUCUCGGUGGGACGGAUUCGCUCUUUCGGUGAGACCGAAAAGUUAUGAAAGGGAAACAGACAGUUUGCAAUCCCAUCUCGGUGAGACCAAGAUCCCUAUCGGUAGAACUGAAUUGCUAGGGUUUGGCAGUGGCUUAUGACAAGUGAAACUCGGUGGUGCCGGAUAGGAAUAAUCGGUAGGACCGAGUUUGGCUUAGGGUUUAGGUCAUAUGUGGAUAUGGGAAAGUAGUUGAGGGUUUUGGAGCAUAUCACUAAGCACAUGAAGCAAGAGGCUCAUUAAGCAACACCUCAUCCCUCCUUGAUAGUAUUGGCUUUUCCUAAAGACUCAAUGUGAUCUUGGAUCACUAAAAUAUAAAAUGAAGAGUCUUGAGCUUUUGAGCUUGAGCCAAUCCUUUGUCCUUAGCAUUUUGAGGGUUCCACUUUCACAUCCAUGCCAUGCCAAUCAUUGAGCUUUCCUGAAAUAGUCAUCUUGGAAUAGCAUUAGCUCAAUGAGCUAUAUGUUGUUAUGAAUUACCAAAACCACCUAGGGAUAGUUGCACUUUCAUACACCCUGCCUAACACUAUUCGUGCUUCAUAUGGUUCAUGUUUCAUGGAGUACUGUAGCACCGUACUCUCUGUGCGCUGUGGACCUAGUUCUGUUAACAUUGAUCUCACCGUCCAUUCUCGACCGGAUAGUCAAAAAAGCGGUACUAUGUUACAUAUAGGAGUAGUUGACAUGCGCACAACAUCAUUUGUUAUCGUCAUAUAUUACUACACUAGCAACAAGAUUGUGUUGUACUGACGUAUGAACCACUGCACAUGCCUAGUAGUAGGAGCACUGUGUAUGUUCAAGUGGCUGCCGUGUUUCGCACUCCUCCGUCGUAAGAGUGGAAACGCUUGCUGUAAUCAUUUUUUCUUCUGAAAAAUAGUGGACACGCUCUACCAUGCGGAUCCUCCUCCAGCCAUGCACUAAAUUACUCACUUUCACCGAUGUGUGGGACAGCCAGCAUCGGGGUCCACCAGCCAUGCACUAAAUUACUCCGUAGUAGAGUGACGGUAGACUACCUCGAUCGAAGCGCCGCAGUAGUGCCCAAUGAGCCGUCAAAUCACAAAACCCCCUCCUUUCCAGCAGUAAGUUGGACGGACGAAGCAACCAUCAUUUCACUCUUCUCUCUCAGCUUCCUCUCUACCCAACCCUCGCUUCUGCCUCAUCUUGUUCCUCAUUUCUUCAAGAAAAUCCUGACCAGCUUCUGCCAUUGUGUUGGGGAAUGUAGUAAUUUCAAAAAAAUUCCUACGCACACGCAAGAUCAUGGUGAUGCAUAGCAACAAGAGGGGAGAGAUUUGUCCACGUACCCUCGUAGACCAAAAGCAGAAGCGUUAGCACAACGCGGUUGAUGUAGUCAUACGUCUUCACGGCCCGACUGAUCAAGCACCGAAACUACGGCACCUCCGAGUUCUAGCACAUGUUCAGCUCGACAACGAUCCCCGGACUCCGAUCCAGCAGAAUGUCGGGGAAGAGUUCCGCCAGCAGGACGGCAUGGUGAUGCUCUUGAUGUUCUACCGUCGCAGGGCUUCGCCUAAGCACCGCUACAAUAUUAUCGAGGAUUAUGGUGGAGGGGGGCACCGCACACGGCUAAGAGAUCAAUGAUAAAUUGUUGUGUCUAUGGGGUGCCCCCCUACCCCCGUAUAUAAAGGAGCAAGGGGGAGGAGGUGCGGCCAGGCAAGGGGCGCGCCAGGAGGAGUCCUACUCCCACCGGGAGUAGGACUCCCCCCUUUUCCAUGUUGGACUAGGACUUGGGGGAAGGAGAGAGAGAGGGGAAAGGAAAGGGGGGUGCCGCCCCCCUCCUUGUCCAAUUCGGACUUGGGGGGAGGGCCGCGUGGCUGCCCCUUGGCCUCCUCUCUACUUCCUCCACUAGGCCCAUUAAGGCCCAUUAGGUUACUGGGAGGUUCCGGUAACCUCCCGGUACUCCAAUAAAAUGCCGAUUUCACCCGGAACACUUCCGAUGUCCAAACAUAGGCUUUCAAUAUAUCAAUCUUCAUGUAUCGACCAUUUUGAGACUCCUCGUCAUGUCCGUGAACACAUCCGGGACUCCGAACAAUCUUCGGUACAUCAAAACAUAUAAACUCAUAAUGAAACUGUCAUCGUAACGUUAAGCGUGCGGACCCUACGAGUUCGAGAAUAAUGUAGACAUGACUGAGACACGUCUCCGGUCAAUAACCAAUAGCGGAACCUGGAUGCUCAUAUUGGCUCCUACAUAUUCUACAAAGAUCUUUAUCGGUCAGACCGCAUAACAACACACGUUGUUCCCUUUGUCAUCGGUAUGUUACUUGCCCGAGAUUCGAUCGUCGGUAUCUUAAUACCUAGUUCAAUCUCGUUACCAGCAAGUCUCUUUACUCGUUCUGUAAUACAUCAUCCCGCAACUAACUCAUUAGCUGCAAUGCUUGCAAGGCUUAAGUGAUGUGCAUUACCGAGAGGGCCCAGAGAUACCUCUCCGACAAUCGGAGUGACAAAUCCUAAUCUCGAAAUAUGCCAACCCAACAUGUACCUUUGGAGACACCUGUAGAGCACCUUUAUAAUCACCUAGUUACGUUGUGACGUUUGGUAGCACACAAAGUGUUCCUCCGGUAAACGGGAGUUGCAUAAUCUCAUAGUCAUAGGAACAUGUAUAAGUCAUGAAGAAAGCAAUAGCAACAUACUAAAUGAUCAAGUGCUAAGCUAACGGAAUGGGUCAAGUCAAUCACAUCAUUCUCCUAAUGAUGUGAUCCCGUUAAUCAAAUGACAACUCAUGUCUAUGGCUAGGAAACAUAACCAUCUUUGAUCAACGAGCUAGUCAAGUAGAGGCAUACUAGUGACACUCUGUUUGUCUAUGUACUCACACAAGUAUUAUGUUUUCGGUUAAUACAAUUCUAGCAUGAAUAAUAAACAUUUAUCAUGAUAUAAGGAAAUAAACAAUAACUUUAUUAUUGCCUCUAGGGCAUAUUUCCUUCACAUUGUUCUUCCCUCCCAAAGAAGGAAAGGUGAGCGCAUCAAUGGUGUUGAUUCUGGCCAAGGCCCGGUCUUGCAACCCCGAGACUGAUCCUAUAACUCCCUCUCUUUUCUUCUUUUGGGUUUGUGAUUAUGGUUUCUUUUCUUUUAUUUCUAUUUGACAGUUUCUUGAUGGACGCUGGAGCAUCGGCCGAAGUGAUGUCUAUGGCUCUGGCCAAAACCGUCGAGGCUCAUGGUACGAAGAAGUGCAAGCACCCCGCCGAGACUACCGCAGACAAGCUCAAAGCCAUCACCCUGUCCAAGCCCCCCUCUCUGGGAUCCCUCAUUAAGCAAGUCCAGGUAAUAUCUCUUCUUGACGAUAUUUUUCUCGAUCUUGAUCGUGGUUUUCAUCUCACACGCAGUACUAGUACUAGUAGUACAACUUUCUGGGUGAUCUUGCAUGUGAUUUUUGUGUGCCAAAUGAUGGUUCUAAAUUCCUCUUUUGACAAAAACAUGCGAGAGGUUGACACUGAUUUCUUAUAGAUUACUUUCAACUACUCCCUCUGUCCCAAAUUUCUUGUCUUAGAUUUGUCUAGAUACGGAUGUAUCUAAUACUAAAAUGUGACUUGAUACAUCCGUAUCUAGAAAAAUCUAAGACAAGAAUUUUGGGACGAAGGGAGUACUUUAUGAACAUCAAUGCUACCUUUUAAGAGGGUAUAUUUGCCUCAGUAACUUGUGUUAUGGAUAUUGCAUGUAAUCCCUUUGCUCUCAUGCCUUUGAAGACAUGUUCUAGUGUCUUUGUUCACUCAUUUCUGUGCGUAUAUGUAGUCAUAUAUGGAGUAUAAUAUCGAAAAUCAUCUUAUAUUUCUGAACGGAGGUAGUAAUAAAAUAUGGUUUCUGUUUGAAUUAGAACUAGGUCCGCUGAUAUGUGGGGCAACCGGCAACGGGAUCCACAUGCCAUAUGCACAAAUUAGAGUGCACAACUUCACGGUAGACACACCCCGGUCGUAGCGCCACAGUAAUGCCCAAUGAGCGGUCAAAUCACAACCCCCCUUUCCAGCUUUAGCAAUAAGCUAGACGGACGAAGCGGCAAUAUUUCACUGGGCCUGAAUCCCCUUCUCCCUCGUCUGCUUGUUCAGAGAAAACCCCCUCUCGACGAUUGCAUAGGGUUUUCUCAUGGAGAACCAGGUACGAAUUCUUCAUCCAUCCCCGAUAAACCCAAGUCCCUUAGUCACAGGUAAUCCUAGGAUGGCAGCCGCCGCCAUUGAUGCAUUUUUCUUCCUACUGAAUCUAGUGUGUUUCAUUUGCAGUGCCCGAAGUGCGAGUACCCUAUAGGUUUCUGCACCCUCGGCGAGACGCCACACUUGUUCCUUCUCAUCCUAACACAGCAUUUUGAAACGCGCACAGUAUGUUCCUAGAAUCCUCUUUUCUAUCCGGGAGGGUGGGGUUUUUUUGAACAUGUUGUGUUCUCAUAUUAUUUUUCCUGCAGUGUAUUAUUUGCUCUGCCAAAACACAUGUACUCAAGAUGCUCGGCCUUGCCAUAACUGAAUACACUAGUUUAAUGGUCACAGUGAAGACAAGCCAUGGAUAUAAGUUCCGAGUUGGGUUCAUGAACCAAGAAGAUCGCUGCUUUUUUUAUGGCCGAACUUGGAUAAACUUUCUCAAGUGUUACGGACUGAAAGUUGGCGCACGAAUGUUGAUGGAAAUAGCAGAACCUGAUCUCAUCUUCACUGCGAUCUUCCACCCCGACGUCGUUCCAAUUGUUCAUCCAUGUUAGUUUUGUAUCUGGUUCUUGCUUGUUGCCUCGAUUACUUCUUAAUCCACCUAUUCUGUCUAACUAAUCACAAUUUAACUUUAGAAGUAGCAAUGAAUCUCUCACGAAGAUGCUACUUCUAACUAAUAUUUUCUUAUAAUUGGUGGCACGUGUAGGUUUUUUCAGAGUUAAGCAGUCUGCUCGCUUGUUACUCUGUAAUAACUCGGCUGUUACUAAUGGCACUGAAGUUGACUGGAUCGACAUCCACAAGUUCCUACACUUUAUUGAUCGUCUUGAGGUCCUUGUGGGGCGUUUCAAUGGUGGAAGGCCACGUGGGAUAUGUGUGCCACUGCUGCACUCAUUGAACAGGUCCAACUGUGUCGAGAAACUUAUGGUACGAGCUGUUUUCUGUUAUAUAUGUUGUUCAUAAACUAUUGAUUAUACACAGUUUUACAGCUGUGAUCUUCUUGAAACAGGAACUGUCGAGUUCUAUUGUUCCUAUACAAAUGCCUGACCAUGGUCGGGUCAGACUUGCGCUUGGUCACAACAUGAUGUUUAUGUCGACCUACUCAAUUCCCCUUGGAGGUGAAAAGAUACUUAUUCAUGGGUGGUCUCAAAUAAUGAAGGCCCGUCCAUCUUGGAGAAUAGGACAGAAGAUUAUGUUCAUGCUUUUCCAUGGCUCUAAAGCGAAUAUCCUGUUUAUUGACCACGUUGCGAGAUGAAGCCGCUUUCAGAAGGUUGUGGAUGCGCAGGGUGGCGCCUGGGCCUUGUCCUGGGGCUUGGCGGCCUCACCCUUGGUUAACUGUAGGUAAAGUAGCAUUGUUUGAGGCGUGCUUUGUACGGUUGAACCUGUAUAAGUACUCAUACUGCUUUUAGCUUUGGUUGUUAAGUGCCCCUGCUGGUUUCAGUUAAGAUUGUUAAGUACUCCUUCUGCUUUUACAGUCUGUCGUGCUUCUUCGGUCCUGUCUUCCUCCAGCCGCCAAAACCAAACCAGCGCCGGCGGGGCCGCCUGCUUCCGCCUCCCACGGCUAGCUGCGCCUCAGCGCACGCAUCGCCGCCCCACCGUCUCCUAAAUCGUUAACACCGACGUCCUCCGUGCGCUUUGGUGCGCUCGCCGCGGAGCCGCCCUCUCACGUUGUCAACAUGGUCAACAAACAACAGGAAUCGGCAGAAGUACGUGGAGAGGAUGACAGUAGGGGCUCACCACGUCAGCGUAUGGAAAAAUAAAAUGCUUCCUCCUAGUGUUUUCCUGACAUCUGGGACCCACGACAUUGUGAGCAUAUAUAGUCAAUAGACAAGAGAACAGCACAAGAUCGGCUGACACCUGGGACGUAGCUACUCGAGCAGUAUUUUUUUUGUUUGGUAUUGUUGAGACGGAGCAGGGUUUGAACUUGGCUGUGGCCCGUCUAGCCCAGGCUUAUAUUUUAUGUUCACCAUGUGACCAGCCCAGCUAUUUUUUCUUUGUGAAAAUGAGCCCAGUUUAUUUUUUCUGAAGAAUACCCAAUCCAGGCCUACUUAUUUUUCUACGCCCUGAUGAGCUGCAACUCUUUCAAGACGCCUGCAAAUCUUGAAAGUAAUAUGAAAUGGGUUGUAAAUAUAAAAACAGAUGACAAAUUGGCAAUUACUUUAUAAUUUCUGAAUUUUAUUACAUUUUCAUAUUCCUAUUUCACUGGGCAUUAACCUAAUUUAAAUAUAUCUUCAAAGUACUUUAAAUCUGGCUCGACAUUUCGGUAUUAAAAAUAGUUUGGAACCCACAGAAAUAUGUGAAAUUGGCCCUGGCCAACCAAAAAACGACUGUAAUAAAUUGCAUAAGAAGUUGCCAUGAGCUAUAUAUAAAUUAUUAAUAAAAGAGGGAGUGGUCUGACUUGUGGGCCUAUUUAGUUGACGCGUAUGCAAGAGUUUUUUAGUUAUUAUAUACAUCAACAAACGAUUCUAGCAGACGUAACCAUUGAAUGUCAAUCCAACGGCCGUCGUGUUUCUUCAAUCUCUGAUCUUCUUGCUCCAGCCGCCAAAGCAACGCCGGCGGGACCGCCUACUCCCGCCUCCCGUGGCUGGCUGUGCUGCCGCGCAAGCCUCAGCGCCCCCUACUACUCCCACCGCUGGCCAGGGCAUCCCUCUACUCACCCACAUCCCCUGUUAUUCUGCGGCGACGGUAGCCUCACACCGCAGCCAAACCGGUGAACGCUCGUACUCCUCUCAGGGUGGGCAUCCACUGUCGCGUCUUCCCUGGCUCCGCGUCGUCCCCUUCCUAUGCCUCGCUGUCGUCCACAGCCGUGGUGCUCUCGGCACGGCGUGGUCAAUGUGGUCAACGACCGACUUCCAUCAGAAGAGUACUGUACGUGGAGAGGCUGACAGCUGGGUCCACGGCAGCCGCAAGGAAGUGCCUCCUUAUUAUGCGGAAAAUAAUUAUUCCUCCACCUGACAGCGGGGACCCACCGGACGGGCCACCAGUAUUUUGCGAAAAAAAUCAUUUCCCCCUGACUGUUGGGACCCACCAGAUGGGCCACCAUAUUUCAGGAAAAUAAUGUUCCCCCCGCUGUCAGCUCGGACCCACCGGAAGUGCCUCCUUAUUACGCACAAAAAAAUGAAUACUCCCCCGGCUAGCUGGGACCCACCUUGGUGGGAGGCUGACUUGUGGGCCUACUAAGUUGACGGGGACGAAGGGCUUUGUCAACUUAGUCAAUAUGAACAAUUCUAGCUCCAGUGACCGUACGAUGUCCAUCCAAUGGCCAUAGUACUUCUUCAACCUCUGGUCUUCUUGCUCCAGCCGCCCAAAGCAGCGUCGGUCGUGCUGCAUGCUCCUGCCUCCCAUGGCCGGUUGUGCUGCCAUGGAGGCCUCACUGCCCCUACUAUUCCCACCGCUGGCCAGGCCCUGCAGCGGCGGCAGCCUCACACCGCAGCCGAACCAGUGAACCCUCGUACUCCUCUCCGCGCGGGCUUCCACUGUCGCAUCUUCCCCAGCUCCGCGUCGUCCCCUUCCUAGGCCUCGCCGUCGUCCACUGAUACAUCUCCAACGUAUAUAUAAUGUUUGAUUGCUCCAUGCUAUAUUAUCUACUGUUUUGGACUAUAUUGGGCUUUAUUUUCCACUUUUAUAUUAUUUUUGGGACUAACCUAUUAACCGGAGGCCCAACCCAGAUUUGCUGUUUUAUGCCUAUUUCAGUGUUUCGAAGAAAAGGAAUAUCAAACGGAGUCGAAACGGAACGAAAUCAACUGGAGAAGUUAUUUUUGGAACGAAAGCCACCGGAUAGACUUGGACUCCACGUCAGGAGAUACGGGGGGUGCUCACGAGGGUGGGCCCCCCCUAGGGCGCGUCCCCUUCCUCGUGGGGCCCCCGUGUCUCCUCCGACGUACCCCAUGCACCCAUAUAUACCUACGUACCCUAAAACUUCCAGAACACAAUAGAUCAGGAGUUCCGCCACCAAAAGCCUCCGUAGCCACCGAAAGCCAAUCUAGACCCGUUCCGGCACCCUGCCAGAGGGGGCAAUCCCUCUCCGGUGGCCAUCUUCAUCAUCCCGGUGCUCUCCAUGACGAGGAGGGAGUGGUUCUCCCUCGGGGCUGAGGGUAUGUACCAGUAGCUAUGUGUUUGAUCUCUCUCUCUCUCUCUCUCUCGUGUUCUUGAGGUGAUACGAUCUUGAUGUAUCGCGAGCUUUGCUAUUAUAUUUGGAUCCUAUGAAGUUUCUUCCCCCCUCUACUCUCUUGUAAUGAAUUGAGUUUCCCCUUUGAAGUUAUCUUAUCGGAUUGAGUCUUUAAAUAUUUGAGAACACUUGAUGUAUGUCUUGUCGUGGAUAUCUAUGGUGACAAUGGGAUAUCACGUGAUUCACUUGAUGUAUGUUUUGGUGACCAACUUGCGGGUUCCGCCGAUGAACCUAUGCAUAGGGGUUGGCACACGUUUUCGUCGUGAUUCUCCGGUAGAACUUUGGGGCACUCUUUGAGGUCCUUUGUGUUGGUUGAAUAGAUGAAUCUGAGAUUGUGUGACGCAUAUUGUAUAAUCAUACCCACGGAUACUUGAGGUGACAUUGGAGUAUCUAGGUGACAUUAGGGUUUUGGUUGAUUUGUGUCUUAAGGUGUUAUUCUAGUACGAACUCUAGGGCUGUUUGUGACACUUAUAGGAAUAGCCCAACGGAUUGAUUGGAAAGAAUAACUUUGAGGUGGUUUUGUACCCUACCAUAACCUUUUCGUUCGUUCUCCGCUAUUAGUCACUUUGGAGUGACUCUUUGUUGCAUGUUGAGGGAUAGUUAUGUGAUCCAAUUAUGUUAGUAUUGUUGAGAGGACUUACACUAGUGAAAGUAUGAACCCUAGGCUUUGUUUCCUAGCAUUGCAAUACCGUUUACGCUCACUUUUAUCAUUAGUUACCUUGCUGUUUUUAUAUUUUCAGAUUACAAAAACUAUUAUCUACUAUCCAUAUUGUACUUGUAUCACCAUCUCUUCACCGAACUAGUGCACCUAUACAAUUUACCAUUGUAUUGGGUGUGUUGGGGACACAAGAGACUCUUUGUUAUUUGGUUGCAGGGUUGCUUGAGAGAGACCAUCUUCAUCCUACGCCUCCUACGGAUUGAUAAACCUUAGGUCAUCCACUUGAGGGAAAUUUGCUACUGUCCUACAAACCUCUGCACUUGGAGGCCCAACAACAUCUACAAGAAGAAGGUUGUGUAGUAGACAUUAAGCUCUUUUCUGGCUCCGUUGCCGGGGAGGUUAGCGCUUGAAGGUAUAUCUUUAGAUCUUGCAAUCGAGUCUUUUAGUUUCUUGUUUUAUCACUAGUUUAGUUUAUAAAAGAAAACUAUAAAAAAUGGAAUUGAGUUUUUCUCAUAUGCUUCACCUUUUUAAUAUCUUUCGUGAGUAUGAUGGAAAGGAUAAUUGUGCUCAAGUGUUAGAAGAAGAGAUCUCUAAAAUGUUUGGCACUAAAUAUUUGAAUGAUGAGCAUGAUUGCAAUGUUGUUAGUACGAAUUCUUUGAAUAUCCAUGAUGCUAAUGAUGAUUGCACUAGUUAUGAUGAAAAUGCCUCCUAUAAACAUGUCAAUUUUUGUGGAGUACACUAGGUUUGCAAGUACACACUAAAUAGGGAAGAUAGAUAUUGCAAGAGGCAUAAGUACUUAGAAACCAAAUUGUUGCAAGAAGAGCUAGAUGAAUGUGCUGAAAGAUUCAAUAUUUUUCGUGCCCCUUGUGAACUUUGCAAUGAACAUGGUCAUUUAAAGCUCCAAUACUAUUUGUUUCAUGAUCAAGUCGUGUCCAAACAUUGUGAUAAUUUGAUUACCCUUGAGCAUCAUAAAGAGCUUAGCCUUCUUUUGGGUUAUGAAGAAAUGAAAUGUAUAACUGAGGGUAUUCCAAAGUUUAAUCUUGAUAGAUUUCUUGAUUUUGAUCUAGAGAAAAUUUAUACGUAUUGUGCGGUGAAUUGUAUUGAAAAUCCUCAUAUUGCCAACUACAUAAAGAAAAGAAAACAAAUAGAGGAUGAAGAGAAUACUAAUGAAAGGGAAGGGACUUCCCAAUAUCCUCCUAUUAUUUCUUAUGAUGAAUCAGGUAACAAGGAGGAGCUUUCUAUCCAACCAAUCUCAUUAAUAAGGAGCUCCAAAAAGAGGAUUGAACCCACACAUGAUGUGGUGAAUAAGAAGAAAAGAAAAAGGAAGAGAGGUAAAAAGGUAUCUCUCCCAAAUAAAGUUGCUCCUAUUAUUGAUGUGCCUCAUGAAAAUGAUACACUUGAUGAUCUCAUUAUGCCUAUUGCUUGUUGUGAUGAUUAUGAUUGGGAAGAUAAUGACACUUCUUAUGAUCUUGAAAAUCUUUUUGGCACUUGCUUGGAAGAAUAUUAUAAUUGCUACACUAUUGGUGCUAUCUAUACUAUUAAUGACGAGAGUGAUUAUGUUUAUGAUAUGAAAAGGCCCAAGCUUGGGGAAACUAUGUUUGAUGAGGAUGACAUAUUUGAGAAUAUAUUUGCUGCAAUUAAUGUUUGUCCCAAACUUGGGGAUGAUAUGUUUAAUAAUGAUGAUAUUUUUAGCCUCUCAAGUUUUAAUAUGCAAAUUUGUUAUGAUGAUAGAAUGCCUUCUACUUACGAUGAUAAUAUUUAUGAAAGUGGAUUUGGAGAGGUCAUGACUUUAUUUAGUGAUGUAUCCACUAUCUUGGAAGAGGUUUCAAUAGAUUAUGAUGAGAACAAAGUUGCUACUUAUGAUGAUUAUUGUGAUAAAACUUAUGCUAUAAAGAGUAGUGAUGAUUAUAUUUAUAAAACUUGUCAUGAUUAUGAGUACCCUUUCUCUGAACAUUACUCAUUUAACGUGGAAACAAUUUAUAGUAUUCAAGUCUCUUAUGAUACUCCCACUAUUCCGAAUGAGAAGAAUUUUGCUUAUGUGGAGAGUAGUAAAUUUUCUAUGCAAGUAGAUCAUGAAAAGAAUUAUUUAGGUGCUGGUUAUAUUGUUGAAUUCAUUCAUGAUGCUACUGAAAAUUAUUAUGAGGGAGGAAUAUAUGCUUGUAGGAAUUGCAAUAAUAUCAAAUUUCCUCUCUAUGUGCUUAAAAUCUUGAAGUUAUGCUUGUUUUGCCUUCCUAUGCUAGUUGAUUAUUGUUCCCAUAAGUUGUUUUCUCACAGAAUCCCUAUGCAUAGGAAGUGGGUUAGACUUAAAUGUGCUAGUCAUAUUCUUCAUGAUGCUCUCUUUAUGUUUCAAUUCUUAUCUUUUAUGUGAGCAUCGUUGAAAUCAUCAUGCCUAGCUAGGGGUGUUAAACGAUAGCGCUUGUUGGGAGGCAACCCAAUUUUAUUUUAGCUCCUUGCUUUUUUGUUCCUGUUUAGUAAUAAAUAAUCCAUCUAUCCUAUGUUUAGAUGUGGUUUUAUGUGUUCAAUUAGUGUUUGUGCCAAGUAGAACCGUUGGGAAGACUUGGGGAAAGUCUUUGCGAUCAUGCUGUAAAAAACAGAAACUUUAGCACUCACAAGAACUGCUGCCAUUUUUAUUUGGAGAGUGAUAUUUAGUUAAUUCUUCUUGAAGAUGAUUAAUAUAUAAAUUCCUCAGGUCCAGAAAUUUAUUUGAGAAUUUUAUGAGUUCCAGAAGUAUACGUUUGAUCCAGAUUACUACAGACUGUUCUGUUUUUGACAGAUUCUGUUUUUCAUGUGUUGUUUACUUAUUUUGAUGAAUCUAUGGCUAGUAAAAUAGUUUAUAAACCAUAGAGAAGUUGGAAUACAGUAGGUUUAACACCAAUAUAAAUAAAGAAUGAGUUCAUUACAGUACCUUGAAGUGGUGAUUUAUUUUCUUAUACUAACGGAGCUUACGAGUUUUCUGUUCAGUUUUGUGUUGUGAAGUUUUCAAGUUUUGGGUAAGGAUUCGAUGGACUAUGGAAUAAAGAGUGGCAAGAGCCUAAUCUUGGGUAUGCCCGAGUCACCCCAAGGUAAUAUUCAAGGAUAGCCAAGAGCCUAAGCUUGGGGAUGCCCCGGAAGGCAUCCCCUCUUUCGUCUUCGUUCAUCGGUAACUUUACUUGGAGCUAUAUUUUUAUUCGCCACAUGAUAUGUGUUUUGCUUGGAGCGUCAAUUUAUUUUGUUAGGAUUUCUUGAUGUUAUUUAGAACAAUGUUUUGCAUCUCUUAUUUCAAUAAAAGUGGCAUUGAUAGCCUUUACUAUGCCUAUGUUACAAGUAUACAUGUUGCUGUUUGAAAACAGAAAGUUUACCGCUGUUGCAAUAAUUCCCUAGAAAAGUCAGAAUGUGAUAAAAUGUUGAAACCUUUUGCAUAUUAAGAUCUGAUAAAUUUACUACAGUGGGAAUUUUAUUUCAUAAUUUUUGGAUCUAGGGAAGUAUGGAUGUUGUAGCAUUCUUUACAGACUAUCCUGUUUAGGCAGAUUGCUGUUAUGUUUGCAUUGUUUGCAUAUGUUUGCUUCUUUAAUGAUUCUAUUUGAGGAUAGGACUAUUAAAUAUGAAGAGGCAUUUAGUAUGCAAUGUUGAAUAAUAAUUUUAGUGAUUUUCUACAGUAGAGUAUGAUAAGGUUUUUGCAAUGGUCACUAACUUAUCUCACGAGUCCUUGUUGAGUUUUGUGUGGAUGAAGCUUUUGAGAUUUAGGGAGACCGUGAUAUGAGAGGAAUUAAGGAGACACAAAAGCUCAAUCUUGGGGAUUCCCAAGGCAUCCCAAGAUAAUAUUUCAAGAAGUCUCAAGCAUCUAAGCUUGGGGAUGCCCCGGUUGGCAUCCCACCUUUCUUCUUCAACAAUUAUCGGUUAGUAUCGGUUGAUCCUAAGUUUUUGCUUCUUCACAUGAUGUUUGCUAUUCUUAGAUGUAAUUUUAUUUUUCUUUGCUUGCUGUUUGAAUAGAGUACCAAGAUCUUAAAUUAUUAAAUGUUGGAGAGUCUUCACAUAGUUGCAUAAUUAUUCGACUACUCAUUGAUCUUCACUUAUAUCUUUCGGAGUAGUUUGUCAUUUGCUCUAGUGCUUCACUUAUAUCUUUUAGAGCAUGGUCGUAGUUUUAUUUUGAAGAAAUAGAUGAACUCUCAUGCUUCACUUAGAUUAUUUUGAGAGUAUUAAAUAUCAUGGUAAUUUGCUUAAAAUCCUAAUAUGCUAGGUAUACAAGAUUAAUAAUAAAAUUCUCUUAUGAGUGUGUUGAAUACUAAGAGAAGUUUGAUACUUGAUGAUUGUUUUGAGAUAUGAGGAUGGUAAUAUUAGAGUCAUGCUAGUUGAGUAGUUGUGAAUUUGAGAAAUACUUGUGUUGAAGUUUGUGAUUCCCGUAGCAUGCACGUAUGGUGAACCGUUAUGUGAUGAAGUCGGAGCAUGAUUUAUUUAUUGAUUGUCUUCCUUAUGAGUGGCGGUCGGGGAUGAGCGAUGGUCUUUUCCUACCAAUCUAUCCCCCUAGGAGCAUGCGCGUAAUACUUUGUUUCGAUAACUAAUAGAUUUUUGCAAUAAGUAUGUGAGUUCUUUACGACUAAUGUUGAGUCCAUGGAUUAUACGCACUCUCACCCUUCCACCAUUGCUAGCCUCUCUAGUACCACGCAACUUUCGCCGGUACCAUAAACCCACCAUAUACCUUCCUCAAAAUAGCCACCAUACCUACCUAUUAUGGCAUUUCCAUAGCCAUUCCGAGGUAUAUUGUCAUGCAACUUUCCACCGUUCCGUUUAUUAUGACACACUCCAUCAUUGUCAUAUUGCUUAGCAUGAUCAUGUAGUUGACAUAGUAUUUGUGGCAAAGCCAUUGUUCAUGAUUCUUUCAUACUUGUCACUCUUGAUUCAUUGCAUAUCCCGGUACACCGCCGGAGGCAUUCAUAUAGAGUCAUCUUUGUUCUCGUAUCGAGUUGUAUCAUCGAGUUGUAAAUAAAUAGAAGUGUGAUGAUCAUCAUUCAAUAGAGCAUUGUCCCAAAAAAAGGAAAGAAAGGCCAAAUAAAAAAAGAAAGGCCAAAUAAAAAAAUAAAAGGGACAAUGCUACUAUCCUUUUACCACACUUGUGCUUCAAAGUAGCACCAUGAUCUUCAUAGUAGAGAGUCUCUCAUGUUAUCACUUUCAUAUACUAGUGGGAAUUUUACAUUAUAGAACUUGGCUUGUAUAUUCCAAUGAUGCGCUUCCUCAAAUUGCCCUAGGUCUUCAUGAGCAAGCAAGUUGGAUGCACACCCACUAGUUUCUUUUGUUGAGCUUUCAUAUACUUAUAGCUCUAGUGCAUCCGUUGCAUGGCAAUCCCUACUUACUCACAUUGAUAUCUAUUGAUGGGCAUCUCCAUAGCCCGUUGAUACGCCUGGUCGAUGUGAGACUAUCUUCUCCCUUUUUUCCUCUCCACAACCACCAUUCUAUUCCACCUAUAGUGUUAUGUCCAUGACUCACGCUCAUGUAUUGCGUGAAGAUUGAAAAAGUUUGAGAACAUUAAAAGUAUGAAACAAUUGCUUGGCUUGUCAUCGGGGUUGUGCAUGAUUUAAAUAUUUUGUGUGGUGAAGAUGGAGCAUAGCCAGACUAUAUGAUUUUGUAGGGAUAGCUCUCUUUGGCCAUGUUAUUUUGAGAAGACAUGAUUGCUUAGUCAGUAUGCUUGAAGUAUUAUUGUUUUUAUGUCAAUAUUAAACUUUUGUCUUGAAUCUUAUGGAUCUGAAUAUUCAUAUCACAAGUAAGAAGAAUUACAUUGAAAUUAUGCCAACUAGCAUUCCACAUCAAAAAUUAUCUUUUUAUCAUUUACCUACUCGAGGACGAGUAGGAAUUAAGCUUGGGGAUGCUUGAUACGUCUCCAACGUAUCUAUAAUUUUUGAUUGCUCCAUGCUAUAUUAUCUACUGUUUUGGACUAUAUUGGGCUUUAUUUUCCACUUCUAUAUUAUUUUUGGGACUAACCUAUUAACCGGAGGCCCAGCCCAGAUUUGUUGUUUUAUGCCUAUUUCAGUGUUUCGAAGAAAAGGAAUAUCGAACGGAGUCGAAACGGAACAAAAUCAACUGGAGAAGUUAUUUUUGGGGCCCCCGUGGGCGCGCCCCCUGCCUCGUGGGGCCCCCGUGGCUCCUCCGACGUACCCCCUGCACCCAUAUAUACCUAUGUACCCUAAAACUUCUAGAACACAAUAGAUCGGGAGUUCCGCCGCCAGAAGCCUCCGUAGCCACCGAAAGCCAAUCUAGACCCGUUCCGGCACCCUGCCGGAGGGGGCAAUCCCUCUCCGGUGGCCAUCUUCAUCAUCCCGGUGCUCUCCAUGACGAGGAGGGAGGGUAUGUACCAGUAGCUAUGUGUUUGAUCUCUCUCUCUCUCUCUCGUGUUCUUGAGGUGAUACGAUCUUGAUGUAUCGCGAGCUUUGCUAUUAUAAUUGGAUCCUAUGAAGUUUCUUCCCCCCUCUACUCUCUUGUAAUGAAUUGAGUUUCCCCUUUGAAGUUAUCUUAUCGGAUUGAGUCUUUAAAGAUUUGAGAACACUUGAUGUAUGUCUUGCCGUGGAUAUCUAUGGUGACAAUGGGAUAUCACGUGAUUCACUUGAUGUAUGUUUUGGUGACCAACUUGCGGGUUCCGCCCAUGAACCUAUGCAUAGGGGUUGGCACACAUUUUCGUCGUGAUUCUCUGGUAGAACUUUGGGGCACUCUUUGAGGUCCUUUGUGUUGGUUGAAUAGAUGAAUCUGAAAUUGUGUGACGCAUAUCGUAUAAUCAUACCCACGGAUACUUGAGGUGACAUUGGAGUAUCUAGGUGACAUUAGGGUUUUGGUUGAUUUGUAUCUUAAGGUGUUAUUCUAGUACGAACUCUAGGGCUGUUUGUGACACUUAUAGGAAUAGCCCAACGGAUUGAUUGGAAAGAAUAACUUUGAGGUGGUUUCGUACCCUACCAUAAUCUCUUCAUUCGUUCUCCGCUAUUAGUGACUUUGGAGUGACUCUUUGUUGCAUGUUGAUGGAUAGUUAUGUGAUCCAAUUAUGUUAGUAUUGUUGAGAGGACUUACACUAGUGAAAGUAUGAACCCUAGGCCUUGUUUCCUAGCAUUGCAAUACCGUUUACGCUCACUUUUAUCAUUAGUUACCUUGCUGUUUUUAUAUUUUCAGAUUACAAAAACUAUUAUCUACUAUCCAUAUUGCACUUGUAUCACCAUCUCUUCGCCGAACUAGUCCACCUACACAAUUUACCAUUGUAUUGGGUGUGUUGGGGACAUAAGAGACUCUUUGUUAUUUGGUUACAGGGUUGCUUGAGAGAUACCAUCUUCAUCCUACGCCUCCUACGGAUUGAUAAACCUUAGGUCAUCCACUUGAGGGAAAUUUGCUACUGUCCUACAAACCUCUGCACUUGGAGGCCGAACAAUGUCUACAAGAAGAAGGUUGUGUAGUAGACAUCUUCCACCGCCGUGGUGCUCUCGGUGUGGCGUGGUCAAUGUGGUCAACGACCGACUUCCAUCGAAAGAGUACUGUGCGUGGAGACGCUGACAGCUGGGUCCACGGCCGCAGCAAGGAAGUGCCUCCUUAUUACGCGCAAAAUAAUUAUUCCUCCACCUGACAGCGGGGACGUACCGGAUGGGCCACCUUAUUUCGCGAAAAAAAUGUUUGCCCCUGACUGCUGGGACCCACCAGCUACAUCUUCGCACGCAAGGAAGUGCCUGACAGUCGGGACCCACCUGGUCGAAGCGUACGUAGCGUUGUCAUUCUGGUCGCGAACGUGUACGUACAUAUAUACUGGUCGAUGUAGAGGCGCGCACGUGUCCUAGUACAGGCGCGCACGUAGCAUGUACACGUACGUACAGCGGCCAGGGUGCAAGAAAGAAAAUAUGGUCACGUAUGUGUACAUACGGGCGGGGUCUCGAAUGCCUACUCGCGCAUAUGUACGGCCAGGGCUCGUGUACAUGGCUGGGUCGGAACGGAGAAACAACGUCGUCGUCGUGUUCAUGGGGAGGCAAUGGAAUGCAUCGUGUUCAUGGGGAGGCAACGGAAUGCGUCGUGUUCAUGGGGAGGGCUUGGACGGAACAGGCGAUGGAAACGAGGCCUGGUGUAUCGCAGAACGGAGGAAACGGCCUUGUGUUCGACCGGCCAUGUUCGAAACGGGAUCAUGUUCAUCGGGAGGGGUCUGGCGUACCGCAAAACGGAGGAAACGGACCUCCUACGAUCGAAACAGGGGUCCUGUUCAUCGGGAAGGGUGUGGCGUACCGCAAAAUGGAGGAAACGGACUUGUGUUGGAGUGCUACGGUCGAAACGGGGGUCCUGUUCAUCGGGAGGGGUGUGGCGUACCGCAAAACGGGACUCCAUGGGAUACUGUUCAUCUCCACCGUCGACCCCCUCCAGCCUCCACGAGCUACUGUUCAUCCACCGUCGACCUCCUCUAGCCUCCACCUGCGACUGUUUAUCCACGGGAUCCUGUUCAUCCAGCCUCCAGCACGCGCUACUCCACCGUCUACUGUUCAACCAGCCCUCUCCACGGGCUCCUGUUCAACCACCCCUCCACGGGCUACUAUUCAUCUUGCCCUCCACCGUCUACUGUUCAUCCAGCCCUCCACGGGGUGGUCCUGUUCAUCCAGCCCUCCACGGGGUCCUGUUCAUCCAGCCCCAACCGNNNNNNNNNNNNNNNNNNNNNNNNNNNNNNNNNNNNNNNNNNNNNNNNNNNNNNNNNNNNNNNNNNNNNNNNNNNNNNNNNNNNNNNNNNNNNNNNNNNNNNNNNNNNNNNNNNNNNNNNNNNNNNNNNNNNNNNNNNNNNNNNNNNNNNNNNNNNNNNNNNNNNNNNNNNNNNNNNNNNNNNNNNNNNNNNNNNNNNNNNNNNNNNNNNNNNNNNNNNNNNNNNNNNNNNNNNNNNNNNNNNNNNNNNNNNNNNNNUCAGUUAACAGCCAUCGAUCGAUCGCUCGGGUUCAGUAACGCAUAGCCUGCAGUGCAAUCGCUCGGGUUCAGUUAGAGCCCAACGCCUCGCUCGGGUUCAGUCAGAGCCAACGCCUCGCACACAUGUGCGUACGUGUACGAGAGAAGCGCGCAUCGCUCGGCCCCCGACCUCCCACCGUAACCGGGAACUCCCCGAAAUUUUCCUCCCCCUCGCUUCUACCACGGUUUUUUCCGUCAUGGACGGCCCAAAGAAUGUCAUGCAGAUGCGUCUCCGGCCCACCCAGGACGAAAAUCCCAUUUUCUGUCAUGAUUUUUUGUCAUAGAAGUAGGAGCCCACCACAUCUAUGAUGAUACCGGGUUUUGUCACAAUUAUCGUCAUAGAAGUGUCAUAUGUAUGACAGAAAAAAAUUUCGUUCAGCCCAAAAUGUCACGGAUGUGUCUUUUUUUGUAGUGAGAGGAGUAUGAACCCUCGAAAACUUUUAGGUUCACACAGAUUAAGGAAGGCAUAGGUUCAACCCAUCAGGGCAUCUUAGAAACAUAUGCCACAAGCUUCGAGAGUAAUUAUCACCAGCUCAAAAGUGGAGCAUGGUUGACCAAAUCGGAGAAUAGGAUUUACCGAUGGCAUUAUGUAUCAGGGAAAGAACUUCCAAAGUGAUUGAAUAUGAGGGACGUUGUCGGAUAAAAUCCAACAAAGGAUCCGAUGGUCCUCAAGGGAUCUGAUGUAAACAUCGGUACUCAAAGAGAGGAAGAAACAAUGCAAAGGCAUUGGAUUCUAGAAACAAGUAACUAAUUCAAAGCUCAAAUGCAAAGGAAUUGUGAUUUCCAAAUCAAGGGAUCAGAAGCAAACGCUCUGAUUAAGGAUGUAUAAGUUGAGGUAGGCUUAGGGAUACCAUCGAUGGUAAUUUGAUUGGUCGAGACCCAGCUCAUGUUUAAAAUGACAUCUGAGCCGGAAGGAUGAACUCUGGGUUGGAUCGAUGAUUGCGCAAACAUAUUGGAUCAAAGACUCAAAAUGACGAUGACAAAGGAUGCUCGUGAAUAUUGAUGUACAUAUGGAAAGUAACCAUAAUGCAAGCAGACAAGUAUUUGCAGAGCAAUAGUUGGCAAUGUGUUAUCAGAAGACCGGAUAGUAUUUCAAAGUAUCUUGUGGAUCACAUGAUCAACUAGGAAUGUAAAAUUCCUCGAUGAGUGUGAGGGAUUAUCCGUAGAUGUAUUAAAGCGAAAAUGGAGCUGCAAGGCAGCAGGCAUAAUGGAUUCUCGGGAUAUUAGAAUGUUUCAGGGAAUCUUAAGAACAAGAGCAAUUGGGGAUGAAGGUAUGAACGACAAAUGCAGGUAGUUAUCCAUAACAAUUUAUCGGUGGUAGGGAUUGCAAUGGCAAAGGGCACAAGGGUCUCGGGAAAACAUCCAAGAGUAUCUUCGGAAUCUUCUGGCGCAGCAGGCGAUCAUCUAUAAUAAGGGGCUCUCCGGGAGGAAGUAGUUACGAGAACCUAGAGUCAGAGUUAGUAAAAUCAUUUAACCCGAAUAGAAGGUAUUUCAGAGACCCAGAGUAAAGAUCGAGGAAUAAAAGAUCCUAAUAUCACCCAAUGGCGACGUGGGCCCAUAAGACACACAAUCAUGUUAGUAAAAGUUUUGCAAUGACUAGACCCGACUUCGGCCAAGGAGUUUGGAAGGGGGAUUUCUACAGGAAGUCGGCUCUGAUACCAACUUGUGACGCCCUCAAUUCAAUCAUACACUAAUCAUACACGCAAACGUAUACAAUCAAGAUCAGGGACUCACAGGAAGAUAUCACAACACAACUCUAAAAAUAAAAUAAGUCAUACAAGCAUCAUAUUACAAGCCAGGGGCCUCGAGGGCUCGAAUACAAGAGCUCGAUCAUAGACGAGUCAGCGGAAGCAACAAUAUCUUAGUACAGACAUAAGUUAAACAAGUUGCCAUAAGAUGGCUAGCACAAACUGGGAUCAGAUCGAAAGAGGCGCAGGCCUCCUGCCUGGGAUCCUCCUAAACUACUCCUGAUCAUCGGCGGUGGCCUGCACAUAGUAGUAGGCACCUCCAGUGUAGUAGGAGUCGUCGUCGACGGUGGCCUCUGGCUCCUGGGCUCCAACAUCUAAUUGCGACAACCGAGAAGAAAGGAAAGGGAUAAAAGGAGGAGCAAGCCAACCGUGAGUACUCAUCCAAAGUACUCGCAAGCAAGGAUCUACACUACAUAUGCAUUGGUAUCAAUGAAAUGGGUAGUACCUGUGGACAAAACUGUAGAAUGCCAUAAUAAAAGGGGGAGAGCUAGUCCUAUCGAAGACUACGCUUCUGGCAGCCUCCAUCCUGAAGCAGUAGAAGAGAGUAGAUGGUAAGUUAACCAAGUAUCAUCGCAUAGCAUAAUCCUACCCGGCGAUCCUCCCCUCCUCGCCCUGUGAGAGAGUGAUCACCGGGUUGUAUCUGGCACUUGAAAGGGUGUAUUUUAUUAAGUAUCCGGUUCUAGUUGUCAUAAGGUCAAGGUACAACUCCAGGUCGUCCUUUUACCGAGGGACACGGCUAUUCGAAUAAAUAAACUUCCCUGCAAGGGUGUACCACAUAACCCAACACGCUCAAUCCCUCUGGCCAGACACACUUUCCUGGGUCAUGCCCGGCCUCGGAAGAUCAACACGUCACAGCCCCACCUAGGCAUAACAAAGAGGUCAACACGCCAGUCUAAAUCCUAUGCAUGCAGGGGUCUGGGCCCAUCGCCCAUUGCACACCUGCACGUUGUGAAAGCGGUCGGAAGCAGACCUAGCCCCCUUGAUUCAAGCGCAGGCUUACGGUCCAAUCCGGCGCGCGUCGCUCAGUCACUGACGCCAAGAAGUCUUCGGCUGAUACCACAACGUCGAGUGCCCAUAACUGUUCUCGCGUAGUUGGUUAGUGCGUAUAGGCCAGUGGCCAGACUCAGAUCAAAUACCAAGAUCUCGUUAAGUGUGUUAAUUGAUGUAACCACGGACGCCGACCAGGGCCAGGCCCACCUCUCACCUAGGUGGUCUCAACCUGCCUUGUCGCUCCGCUACAAAGGUCAACUCAGAGGGCCGUCGGGACAAAUGUUCUUUCGGUCCCAAUCCGUGAAUCACUCGCAGGUACUCUAUGAGCCAACCCGAGUUUAGUCACCACAUGUAUCAUAUAUUAUGUAUAUAAUAUAUACCCGUGAUAGCAUGGCAGACGAACAAGAAUGUAAGGCCACUGAUGGAAUACUAGCAUCCUAUACUAAGCAUUUAGGAUUGCAGGUAAAGGUAACAACAGUAGUAGCGAAGACAUGCUAUGCAUCAGAAUACGAUUAACGGAAAGCAGUAACAUGCUACACUACUCUAACGCAAGCAGUAGAGAGAAGAAUAGGUGAUAUCUGGUUGAUUAAGGGGGGCUUGCCUGGUUGCUCUGGCAAGGAGGGGUCGUCAACAACGUAGUCGAUCGAGGCACCAGCAGCGGCGUCAGUCUCGUAGUCUACCAGGGAGAAGAGGCGGAAGAAACAAUAAAUACAAUGCAAACAGAUGCAUAUUAAUGCAUGACAUGACAAGUAACGGCGCCAGGUGUGCCCUAACGCUGCAGGAGGUGAUACCAGCGAAGGGGGGAAACAUCCGAGAAAGUAUCACCGGUGUUUCGCGUUUUCGGAUAGACGAGCCGGAGGAGGAAAGUUGUGUGUUCGCUAUGCUAGGGAUGUGUGGCGGACUAACAGACUAAGUAUCCAGAUUCGUCCCGUCUUUCUGGGUAAGUUUCAUGUAUGAAGUAUUUUCAUCAGAGUUACGGAUUAUUUUAUAUUAAUUUUUAAAGUUUUAAUUCAAUUUUUAUAAUCUAUCUUAAUUUGAAACUAAAAGAAAAAAAUGCUAAGUGUACCCAGCAGGGUACACUGUGGCUGACAUGUGGGACAGGGGGGUCCAAUUGACCAGUCAAAAUUUGACUGGUCAACAGGGGGUGGGGCCCCCUGUCAUACACUAUUUUAACUAACUAAGUAAUUAGUUUACUUAAUCAAAAUUUGUUAAGUUGAUUACUUAUUUAAUUAACUAGUUAAUUUACUUAAGUUAAUUCUUUAAUCCUUUUUAUUUCAUUUUUGUUCUUUGAUCUACACAGGGGUGGGGCGGGCGGUAGCGAGCGCAGCUAACGGGUGCGAGGGGCCGCUGCCGGGCGGAGGCCUUAGCCCGAUGCGGGACAACGGCAAGUGGCGCCGGCAGCGGUCGGGGCGGCCCCGGGCAGAGGCAGCAGCUGCUGCAACAGCAACAGCAGUAGCAGGCGACGACAGCAUGAUGGAGCGGGGCGGGAGGCGGCAGCAGCAGCAGAAGAAGUGGGCGGAGCAGGAGGCGGGCGCGCGGGGGGGCAGGCCCAACGUGCGAGCGUGUGCGCGGGCGUGGGCUGGUGGCCACAGGGGCAGAGGGGCACCGGGGAGGCGUGGCCUCGGACGCGGCGAGGGCGGGUGGUGCGGCGACAAAUGGAGCAGGGGGGUUGUCGGGCGAGGCCACGGCGGAGGGGCAGCGUGCAUGGCAACCGCAAGCAGAGGCAGCAGGUCGACUGGGUGCGUGCGGUGCGAGCGGCUGCAGGCGAGGCGAGCGAGCAGCGGGUGACGGCGGGUGCUCGGGCGCGAGGAGCGGUGGACGGGGACGAGCGAGGGAGAGGGGAGGUGGAGGCCGGGCCUCACUUGCGGUGCAGGGGAAUAGCAGCGGGCUCGAGGAGGAGGACUGGGACGACGGUGAGGUCGAGGCGGUGGUGCGACGACAGGGCGGCGUGGAGCUCCGACCGACGGCGACGAGCAGCUACGGCGGGGUGGUCCGACAAUGGGGAGGUCUUUAGGAGGCAGUGGACGGGGCAGGGAGCGCCGGCGAUGGCGGGCGGCGUCGGGUUGGGCGCCGAUGUCUGGCUCGGGGGCGACGGGAUUGGGGCGGCGUGCGUUGGGGCGCCCCCGAUCUAGAUCGCAUGGAGGAGUGGGGAUCGUGUGGAGUGGGGGAGUUAGGUUAGGGUUCCUUGGGGUGGGGGUAUGUGUAGGCCGGGGUGGGCCGGCCUGGCUGGGACAUGGCCUAGUUGGGUCGGGGGCUUUCUUUUUCUCCCUUUUUUUAGUUUUCAUUUUUCUUUUCUGUUAUUCACUUAUCUAAUGUUUCGUAUAUUAUUUUGCUAGCUAAUGAGUUUUGUUUAGUACAAAACUUCACACAUAAAUGUUAUGCAAUAUUAUUAGGUUGUACAAAAAGUUUGAAAUAUUUUUGAUUAGUUUAAAUAUUUGUUCAAUCGUAAAUGGUUAAGUUAAAUGAAGUUGGUUCCUGUUUUAAUUAAUUUAGAGACACAUGAUUAUUUCAAAAAUGUUGAUUGAUGCUCUAUAAUUAGUUAGUGAAUAUUUACAACCCUUUGAACAUUUUUAAAUCUCUGUUUGUUGAAUUUUAUAAUUUGACUUGUUAUUUAAAUUUCAAAUUGAACUCGGUUUGAAACGAGUGAGGUUUAGCAAAAAUCAAUCAUGAUGACCUGGCAUCAUUAGCAAGGGUUUAUUGUAUCUUAACUAUCGAGGUGUCACAUACCCCGCUAGUGCCGCCGGUUCUUGCUGCUGCUGCUUCCCAGGCUGAUCGGGAUGCAGCCAAGGCUCUUGAUGAUGCUGCGGUUGAGGCCUAUGAUCAACAGGUAUCCGCCUAUUCAGAUGAUCUUUCGGUCUACCGCGAUGAUUUGUCUGCUUACACUCAGUGGUGCAAUGAUGAUGCUCGAGCUGCUGUCGUUCUCACUGCGAGUGUCCUCCCUCAGUUUGCUUCGGAGUUUAUAGGACUCGGCAUAGUUGCAGCGAUGUGGCCUUAUCUCUGUCAGUGCUAUCAGCCCUCUGGUGAUGCUCUCUACCUAUCUGUGGUGCGUCAGGAGCACGCACUCUAGCAAGGUUAUUCCUCUGUUGAUGAGUUCUAUUCACAGUGCUCUGUCAUUUGGCGCCAGCUUGAUUCUCUUUGCACAGUUGUUUGUGGAACUUGUCAUUGCUUCCAGACUACGCGAUCUGAUUUGGAGUUUCAGAGGGUCCAUGAGUUCUUAUCUCGUCUCCGUUCUGAGUUCGAGCCUCGACAUGCUCACUUGCUUUCUCGUGGUCGUGUGCCCAUCUCGGAGGUACUUGCUGAGCUUCGUGAUAAGGAGACCCGCCUUCGCUCUGCUGGGUUGCUUGCGAUUCCAUCAGUGUUGGCUGCCCGAGCUCCUGUGUCCUCUGCUCGUCCCACAGCUCCACCACUCCUGCCCACACCUACAGGGGGGUUGGUCGCCCUCUAUAUGUCGAGAAGGGUCGGUCGUGCCAUGACACCUUUUGCGGCUACUACCCUCGGCCAGGUCACCCAGAGUCUGAUUGCCGUGAGAAGAAGCGUGACCAGAGGCGCUCCUCUUCCAGUGGGACUCCUGGAUCUUCCUCGACUCAGUCAGUCACUGACCAGGACAUCGUGCGGCUCAAGCGCCUUCUGGCUUCCUCCAGUUCUUCAUCGACGGGUUCUGCUGCUGCUGUGACUGCUUUCACCACCUCAUCACCGCCAGCAUCUACACCGUCAGGUACAUCGUCGUGGGUUCUGGACUCUAGAGCUUCCUCUCAUAUGUCCUCUGAUCCUUCAGUGUUGUCUUCUCUUCGCCCUCUUGAUUCUCUUAUUAAUGUUCUUACUGCCGAUGGCACAUCUCUCCCUGUUGCUAGUCUUGGUAUUCUUUCUACUCCAUCAUUUUCGGUUCCUAGUGUUUCUCAUGCUCCUUGCCUUACCAUGAACCUUUUUUCCGCUGCCCAACUUGUUAAUUCUGGUUGUCAUGUCAUUCUUGAUACCGACUCUCGCUCCAUUCAGGAUCAUCGCACCAAGGUUUUGGUUGGUGCUAGCCCCCGGCGCCGUGAGCUAGAGGGCCUUUGGGAGGUUUACUAGCUUUGUGUUUCUUCCGCUACCACCACUUCUGCCAGUUCUCAUGCUCUUGUUACCUCUUCGUCUGUGUCCUUCCGACAGUGGCAUCAUCGCCUUGGUCAUAUCUGUGGCUCUCGCUUGUCAUCAUUAGUGCAUCAAGGCCUCUUAGGGUCUGUAUCUGGAGAUGUUUUUUACAUUUUAAUGGUUGUAGACUUGGCAAACAGACCCAGUUACCUUAUCCUAUCAGUGAGUCGGUAUCUCAACGCCCCUUUGACCUCGUUCAUUUGGAUGUCUUGGGUCCUUCUCCCUUUGAUUCGAAAGGUGGUCAUCACUACUAUGUUCUGUUUAUUGUUGAUUUCGCUCGCUACACUUGGCUCUACUUCAUGAAAUCUCAUAGCGAGGUUCUCUCUAUGUACAAACGAUUUGCUACCAUGGUUCACACCCAGUUUUCCACACCUAUUUGUACUUUUCAUGCUGACUCCGCUGGAGAGUAUAUCUCCCAACUAUUGCGUGGAUUUCUCGCGGAACAGGGUACUCUUGCCCAGUUCUCUUGUCUUGGUGCUCAUGCUCAGAAUGGUGUUGCGGAAAGUAAGCACCGUCAUUUGCUUGAGACGGCUCGUGCAUUGAUGAUUGCUGCUACCUCUUGAGCAUGCAUUGGUUUUCCCUUGAAGAGGAAAGGGUGAUGCAGCAAAGUAGCGUAAGUAUUUCCCUCAGUUUUUGAGAACCAAGGUAUCAAUCCAGUAGGAGGUAACAAGCAAGUCCCUAUUACCUACACAAACAAACAAGAACCUCACAACCAACGCGAUAAAGGGGUUGUCAAUCCCUUCAUGGUCACUUACGAAAGUGAGAUCUGAUAGAGAUAAUAAGAUAAAUAUUUUUGGUAUUUUUAUUGUAUAGAUUGGAAAAUAAACAUUGCAAAAUAAACAACGAUAGAAAUAGCAAGUAAAUAGUAAAAUAGUAUGAUGGAAGAUAGACCCGGGGGCCAUAGGUUUCACUAGUGGCUUCUCUCAAGAUAGCAAAUUCUAUGGUGGGUGAACAAAUUACUAUCGAGCAAUUGAUAGAAAAGCGCAUAGUUAUGAGAAUAUCUAGGCAUGAUCAUGUAUAUAGGCAUCACGUCCGCGACAAGUAGACCGAAAUGAUUCUGCAUCUACUACUAUUACUCCACACAUCGACCGCUAUCCAGCAUGCAUAUAGAGUAUUAACUUCAUAAGAAUAGGGUAACGCAUUAGGCAAGAUGACAUGAUGUAGAGGGAUAAACUCAAGCAAUAUGAUAUAAACCCCAUCUUUUUAUCCUCGUUGGCAACGAUACAAUACGUGCCUUGCUGCCCCUGCUGUCACUGGGAAAGGACACCGCAAGAUUGAACCCAAAGCUAAGCACUUCUCCCAUUGCAAGAAAGAUCAAUCUAGUAGGCCAAACCAAACUGAUAAUUCGAAGAGACUUGCAAAGAUAUUAAAUCAUGCAUAAGAGAAUUCAGAGAAGAAUCAAAUAUUGUUCAUAGAUAAUCUUGUUCAUAAACCCACAAUUCAUCGGAUCUCGACAAACACACCGCAAAAAGAAUUACAUCGAAUAGAUCUCCAAGAGAAUCGAGGAGAAUUUUGUAUUGAGAUCCAAAGAGAGAGAAGAAGCCAUCUAGCUAAUAACUAUGGACCCGAAGGUCAGUGGUAAACUACUCACACAUCAUCAAAGAGGCUAUGGUGUUGAUGUAGAAGCCCUCCGUGAUUUAUUCCCCCUCCGACGGAGCGCCGGAAAAGGCCCCAAGAUGGGAUCUCUUGGGUACAGAAGGUUGCGGCGGUGGAAAUAGGGUUUCGUGGUGCUCCUGGAUGUUUUCAGGGUAUAUGGGUAUAUAUAGGAUGAAGAAGUAGGUCGGUGGAGCUGCGAGGGGCCCACGAGGAUGGGGGCGCGCCCUCCUGCCUCGUGGCCUCCUCGCUUCUUUCUUGACGUCCACUCCAAGUAUCCUAGAUUGCAUUUGUUUCAAAAAUAACUCUCCCGAAGGUUUUAUUCCAUUUGGAUUCCGUUUGAUAUUCCUUUUCUGUGAAACACUGAAAUAGGCAAAAAAACAGUAAGUUGCACUGGGCCUUUGGUUAAUACGUUAGUCCCAAAAAUAUUAUAAAAAGGUAUAUUAAAGCCCAUUAAACAUCCAAAACAGAUAAUAUAAUAGCAUGGAACAAUCAAAAAUUAUAGAUACGUUGGAGACGUAUCAAGUACCCCCAAGCUUAAUUCCUGCUCGUCCUCGAGUAGGUAAAUGAUAAAAACAGAAUUUUUGAUGUGGAAUGUUACCUAGCAUAAUUCUCAAUGUAAUUUCCUUUAUUGUGGCAUGAAUGUUCAGAUCCGAAAGAUUCAAGACAAAAGUUUAAUAUUGACAUAAAAAUAAUAAUACUUCAAGCAUACUAACAAAGCAAUCGUGUCUUCUCAAAAUAACAUGGCCAAAGAAAGUUAUCCCUAUUAAAUCAUAUAGUCUGGCUAUGCUCUAUCUUCAUCACACAAAGUAUUUAAUCAUGCACAACCCCGAUGACAAGCCAAGCAAUUGUUUCAUACUUUUGAUGUUCUCAAACUUUUGCAAUCUUCAUGCAAUACAUGAGCGUGAGCCAUGGACAUAGCACUAUAGGGGGAAUAGAAUGGUGGUUGUGGAGAAGACAAAAAGGAGAAGAUAGUCUCACAUCAACUAGGCAUAUCAACAGGCUAUGGAGAUGCCCAUCAAUAUAUAUCAAUGUGAGUGAGUAGGGAUUGCCACGCAACGGAUGCACUAGAGCUAUAAGUGUAUGAAAGCUCAACAAAAGAAACUAAGUGGGUGUGCAUCCAACUCGCUUGCUCACGAAGACCUAGGGCAUUUUGAGGAAGCCCAUCAUUGGAAUAUACAAGCCAAGUUAUAUAAUGUAAAAUUCCCACUAGUAUAUGAAAGUGACAACAAAGGAGACUCUCUAUCAUGAAGUGCUUGCUCACGAAGACCUAGGGCAUUUUGAGGAAGCCCAUCAUUGGAAUAUACAAGCCAAGUUAUAUAAUGUAAAAUUCCCACUAGUAUAUGAAAGUGACAACAAAGGAGACUCUCUAUCAUGAAGAUCAUGGUGCUACUUUGAAGCACCAGUGUGGUAAAAGGAUAGUAACGUUGUCCCUUAUCUCUUUUUCUCUCAUUUCUCCUUUUUUCUUUUUUUUAUUUGGACCUUUUCUCUUUUUUUAUGGCCUCCUUUUUUCUUUUCUUUUUUCUUUUUCGUCCGGAGUCUCAUUCCGACUUGUGGGGGAAUCAUAGUCUCCAUCAUCCUUUCCUCACAUGGGGCAAUGCUCUAAUAAUGAUGAUCAUCACACUUUUAUUUAGUUACAACUCAAAAAUUACAACUUGAUAAUAGAACAAAAUAUGACUCUAUGUGAAUGCCUCCGGCGGUGUACCGGGAUGUGCAAUGAAUCAAGAGUGACAUGUAUGAAAGAAUUAUAAAGGUGGCUUUACCACAAAUACGAUGUCAACUACAUGAUCAUGCAAAGCAAUAUGGCAAUGAUGUAACAAACGGAAUGGUGGUAAGUUGCAUGGCAAUAUAUCUCGGAAUGGCUAUGGAAAUGCCAUAAUAGGUAGGUAUGGUGGCUGUUUUGAGGAAGGUAUAUGGUGGGUGUAUGGUACCAGCAAAAGUUGCGCGGUACUAGAGAGGCUAGCAAUGGUGGAAGGGUGAGAGUGUGUAUAAUCCAUGGACUCAACAUUAGUCAUAAAGAACUCACAUACUUAUUACAAAAAUCUAUUAGUUAUCGAAACAAAGUACUACGCACAUGCUCCUGGGGGGAUAGAUUGGUAGGAAAAGACCAUCGCUCGUCCCCGACCGCCACUCAUAAGGAAGACAAUCAAUAAAUAAAUCAUGCUCCGACUUCAUCACAUAACGGUUCACCAUACGUGCAUGCUACGGGAAUCACAAACUUUAGAACAAUUAUUUAUCAAAUUCACAACUAAUCAACUAGCAUGACUCUAAUAUCACCAUCUUCAUAUCUCAAAACAAUUAUCAAGUAUCAAACUUCUUAUAGUAUUCAAUGCACUUUUUAUGAAAGUUUUUAUUAUACCCAUCUUGGAUGCCUAUCAUAUUAGGACUAAUUUUAUAGCCAAAGAAAAUUACCAUGCUGUUCUAAAAGACUCUGAAAAUAAUAUAAGUGAAGCAUGAGAGAUCAAUAAUUUCUAUAAAAUAAAACCACCACCAUGCUCUAAAAGAUAUAAAUGAAGCACUAGAGCAAAAUUAUCUAGCUCAAAAAGAUAUAAGUGAAGCACAUAGAGUAUUCUAAUAAAUUCCGAUUCAUGUGUGUCUCUCCAAAAGGUGAGUACAGCAAGGAUGAUUGUGGUAAACUAAAAAGUAAAGACUCAAAUCAUACAAGAAGCUCCAAGCAAAACACAUAUCAUGUGGUGAAUAAAAAUAUAGCAUCAAGUAAAGUUACCGAUGGACGAAGACGAAAGAGGGGAUGCCUUCCGGGGCAUCCCCAAGCUUAAUUAGGCUUUUGGUUGUCCUCGAAUUUUACCUUGGGUUGACUUGGGCAUCCUCAUGAUUAGGCUCUUGCCACUCCUUAUUCCAAAAUCUAUCAAAUCUUUACCCAAAACUUGAAAACUUCACAACACAAAACUCAACAGAAAAUCUAAUGAGCUCCGUUAGUAUAAAAAAACAAACCACCACUUAUAGGUACUGUAAUGAACUCAUUUUUUAUUUAUAUUGGUGUUAAGCCUACUGCAUUCCAACUUCUCUAUGGUUCAUACCCCCCGAUACUAGCCAUAGAUUCAUGAAAAUAAGCAAACAACACACGAAAAACAGAAUCUGUCAAAAACAGAACAGUCUGUAGUAAUCUGUAGGUUUCGAAUACUUAUGUAACCCCAAAAAUUCUUAAAUAAAUUGGUGGGCGUGAGGAAUUUGUGUAUUAAUCAUCUGAAAAAAUAAUCAACCUAAUCGCACUCUCCAGUAAAAAAUGGUAGCAAAUCUCAUGAGCGCUAAAGUUUCUGUUUUUUACAGCAAGAUCGCGAAGACUUCCCCCAAGUCUUCCCAAAGGUUCUACUUGGCACAAACACUAAUUAAAAGCAUAAAACCACAUCUAAACAGAAUCUAGAUGAAUUAUUUAUUACUAAACAGGAACAAAAAAACAAUAAACAAAAAUAAAAUUCGGUUGCCUCCCAACAAGCGCUAUCGUUUAACGCCCCUAGCUAGGCAUAAAAACAUGAAUAGAUCUAGGUAUUGUCAUCUUUAGUAUGCAAUUCUUCGAUAGAACACUUAUAACCCUUAGGAGUUUCCUUCUUUUUAUUAAUGAUCAAACUCCUAAGCAAGAAAUCAAGAAAUUCAUUUGUAGCAAAAGGUUCCUUAAUGAUAGCGAAAAAGUUGGGGUGAACACUUAUUGCUUUGAGAGCCGCAUUUUGCUUACUAGAAGAUUCACCUUUAUUUUUAGGCACAUACAUAAACUUGGCAACUCUAGUAGUAGGAGGAUUUGGAGUAUUUUUCACAGAAGAAAAGGCAGACCCUAAGUUGGUAAUAAUAUCCUCAAGUUUAUCAAUUCUUGUGGAAUCUUGAUCUAUCUUUUCGUUAACUAUGGGUUCUUUUUCUUUAAAAAAAUUCAGAGUAACUCCUACCUUAGAUCCAUAUUGGGUAAUCUGGUUGUGGAUCCUUUUAUCCAAAUUCUCAAUCAACUCUACAGUGGCAAGUUUAUUUUCAAUAAUUUCAAGCCUUUGCAUCACAUGUUCCAAAGUUAAAAUAGUUCCAUUAACCAAGAGAGGUGGUGGCCCAAACAAAGUAUGGCUACACAAGAAAUUCCCUCCGGUAAUGGUAUCAAAAAUAUAUCUAUUCCAAGGGGUGAUGCCUACAUAAAAAUUGUGAAGAAGAACGGAAGUGGAUUGCUUCCUAGUGGAUCUAUUCUGAGCAUUGCAAAUUCUAUACCAAGCAUCUUUUAAAUUUUCUCCCUCCCUUUGUUUAAAAUUAAGAACUUCAUGAUCGGGAGUACUAACGAUGAUAGAAGGGCUAGCCAAUGAUCUAACACACGGAUACACAAGAAGCAAGCAAAAAGAGACGAACGGAAAAGAGGGCGAAUAAAACGGCAAGGGUGAAGUGGGGGAGAGGAAAAUGAGAGGCAAAUGGCAAAUAACGUAAUGCGAGGGAUAAGAGUUUGUGAUGGGUACUUGGUAUGUCUUGACUUGUGCGUAGAUCUCCCCAGCAAUAGCGCCAGAAAUGGAUUGUUGACGGGAGGUCAAAUCUUGACUUGACUUGGUGCAACCUCCCCGGCAACGGCGCCAUAAAUCCUUCUUGCUACCUCUUGAGCAUGCGUUGGUUUUCCCUUGAAGAGGAAAGGGUGAUGCAGCAAAGUAGCGUAAGUAUUUCCCUCGGUUUUUUAGAACCAAGGUAUCAAUCCAGUAGGAGGUAACACGCAAGUCCCUAGUACCUGCACAAACAAACAAGAACCUCGCAACCAAUGCGGUAAAGGGGUUGUCAAUCCCUUCAAGGUCAUUUACGAAAGUGAGAUCUGAUAGAGAUAAUAAGAUAAAUAUUUUUGGUAUUUUUAUUGUAUAGAUUGGAAAAUAAAGAUUGCAAAAUAAAUAACAAUAGAAAUAGCAAGUAAAUAGUAAAAUAGUAUGAUCGAAGAUAGACCCGGGGGCCAUAGGUUUCACUAGUGGCUUCUCUCAAGAUAGCAAAUUCUAUGGUGGGUGAACAAAUUACUAUCGAGCAAUUGAUAGAAAAGCGCAUAGUUAUGAGAAUAUCUAGGCAUGAUCAUGUAAAUAGGCAUCACGUCCGUGACAAGUAGACCGAAACGAUUCUGCACCUACUACUAUUACUCCACACAUCGACCACUAUCCAGCAUGCAUCUAGAGUAUUAAGUUCAUAAGAACAGAGUAACGCAUUAGGCAAGAUGACAUGAUGUAGAGGGAUAAACUCAAGCAAUAUGAUAUAAACCCCAAUUUUUUAUCUUCGAUGGUAACAAUACAAUACAUGCCUUGCUGCCCCUGCUGUCACUGGGAAAGGACACCGCAAGAUUGAACCCAAAGCUAAGCACUUCUCCCAUUGCAAGAAAGAUCAAUCUAGUAGGCCAAACCAAACUGAUAAUUCGAAGAGACUUGUAAAGAUAUUAAAUCAUGCAUAAAAGAAUUCAGAGAAGAAUCAAAUAUUGUUCAUAGAUAAUCUUGAUCAUAAACCCACAAUUCAUAGGAUCUCGACAAACACACCGCAAAAAGAAUUACAUCGAAUAGAUCUCCAAGAGAAUCAAGGAGAACUUUGUAUUGAGAUCCAAAGAGAAAGAAGAAGCCAUCUAGCUAAUAAGUAUGGACCCGAAGGUCUGUGGUAAACUACUCACACAUCAUCGAAGAGGCUAUGGUGUUGAUGUAGAAGCCCUCCAUGAUCGAUUUCCCCUUCGGCGGAGCGCCGGAAAAGUCCCCAAGAUGGGAUCUCACGGGUACAGAAGGUUGUGGCGGUGGAAAUAGGGUUUCGUGGUGCUCCUGGAUGUUUUCAGGGUAUAUGGGUAUAUAUAUAGGAGGAAGAAGUAGAUCGGUGGAGCUGCGAGGGGCCCACGAGGGUGGGGGCACGCCCUCCUGCCUCGUGGCCUCCUCGCUUCUUUCUUGACGUCCACUCCAAGUCUCCUGGAUUGUGUUUGUUUCAAAAAUAACUCUCCCGAAGGUUUCAUUCUGUUUGGAUUCCGUUUGAUAUUCCUUUUCUGCGAAACACUGAAAUAGGCAAAAAAACAGCAAUUUGCACUGGGCCUUCGGUUAAGGUUAGUCCCAAAAAUAAUAUAAAAAGUUAUAUUAAAGCCCAUUAAACAUCCAAAACAGAUAUAUAAUAGCAUGGGCCAAUAAAAAAUUAUAGAUACGUUGGAGACAUAUCAAUUGUCGCUUCCCUUCCACCCCAUUUUUGGGCUGAGGCUGUUUCUGCAUCUACCUACCUCAUCAACAUUCAGCCAUCGACUGCUCUGCAGGGUGGUAUUCCUAUGAAGUGUCUCAUUGGUCGUUCUCCUAACUACUCCGCCCUUCACAUGUUUGGAUGUGUGUGCUAUGUCCUUCUUGCUCCACGAGAAAGCACCAAACUGACUGCUCAGUCAGUUGAAUGUGUUUUCCAUGGCUACAGUGAUGAGCACAAGGGCUAUCGCUGUUGGGACCCUGUUGGUCGUCGCUUGCGCAUUUCGCGUGAUAUGACCUUUGAUGAGUCUCGCUCCUACUACCCACGUCCUUCUUCCUCGAGCUUCUCUGUGGAUGAUAUUUCUUUUCUUCUCCUUCCCGAUACACCUUGCUAUGUGCCUCAUGUUUCACCUCUCCCUCCUGCACCUCUCAUUCAUUCUCAUUCACCACCAACACCAUCUUCCCCAUCCUCCUCUUCCACCUCUCCACCAUCAUCUCCAGUUUGUGGCCCUCUCUCCCCGUUUACUCUUCACUAUACUUGUCGCCCUCGUGCUGAGGAUGUUUCCUCUGACGCGCCUUCCAUCUCUGGUGCACCUCUGUUCCCGCCUCCCCUGNNNNNNNNNNNNNNNNNNNNNNNNNNNNNNNNNNNNNNNNNNNNNNNNNNNNNNNNNNNNNNNNNNNNNNNNNNNNNNNNNNNNNNNNNNNNNNNNNNNNNNNNNNNNNNNNNNNNNNNNNNNNNNNNNNNNNNNNNNNNNNNNNNNNNNNNNNNNNNNNNNNNNNNNNNNNNNNNNNNNNNNNNNNNNNNNNNNNNNNNNNNNNNNNNNNNNNNNNNNNNNNNNNNNNNNNNNNNNNNNNNNNNNNNNNNNNNNNNNNNNNNNNNNNNNNNNNNNGCCUGAUCGCUAUUCUCCUGAUCGGUACAGUCUCUCUGUUAUUGUUGAGCCCACUUCUAUCAGACUGCCAUGACUCAGCCUGAAUGGCAGCUUGCGAUGGCCGAAGAGCUUGCUGCCCUUGAGCGCUCUGGCACAUGGGAUCUGGUUUCUCACCCUUCCGGAGUUCGUCCCGUCACCUGCAAGUGGGUCUACAAGAUUAAGACUCGCUCUGAUGGUUCUCUUGAGAGGUACAAAGCUCGUCUUGUGGCUCGUGGUUUUCAGCAGGAGCAGGGAAACGAUUAUGAUGAGACAUUCGCUCAUGUGGCCCACAUGACCACUGUCCGCACUCUCCUUGUUGUGGCUUUUGUUCGUCAUUGGUCUAUCUCUCAACUUGAUGUCCAGAACACCUUUCUCAAUGGCAAGUUGCGUGCUUAGGUUUAUAUGCAGCCACCACCGGGGUACUAUGCUCCUGAUGGUAUGGUAUGUAGACUUCGCCGCUCCCUCUAUGGCCUUAAACAGGCUCCUUGCACAUGGUUUGAGUGCUUUGCCUCUGUGGUGACUGCCACUAGUUUCUUGCCCAGUGAUCAUGAUUCCGCAUUGUUUGUUCACAAGUCUCCUUGUGGUCAGACUCUUCUCCUUCUCUAUGUUGAUGACAUAAUCAUCAUUGGUGACGACUCUAACUACAUUGCCUUUGUUAAGGCUCGCUUUCGCGGCUAGUUCCUCAUGACUGAUCUUGGUCCACUUCGCUAUUUUCUUAGGAUUGAGAUCUCCUCGACCUCUUAUGGCUUCUGCAUACCCCAAGAAAAAUAUAUUCAGGAUCUUUUGUGACUCCUAUGGAGCUCAACGUUCAGCUUCGUGCCUCUGAUGGUGACCCUCUUCCUAAUCCCACUCGCUAUCAUUACUUGUUGGCAGCCUUAUCUAUCUUGCUGUUACGCGUCCUGACAUCUCCUAUCCUGUCCACAUUUUGAGUCAGUUUGUUUCAGCCCCCACCUCUGUCCACUAUAGUCACCUUAUCCGUAUUCUACGAUAUCUUCGUGGCACGAUCUCUCAGCGCCUUUUCUUUCCCCGCUACAGCUCUCUUGAGCUCCAGCCCUACUCUGAUGCUACCUGGGCUAGUGAUCCCUCUGAUCGACGCUCGCUGUCUGCUUACUGUGUCUUUCUUGGUGGCUCUCUUAUUGUCUGGAAGACAAAGAAAUAGACUGUUGUUUCUCGCUCGAGUAUGGAGGCUGAGUUGCGGGUCAUGGCUAUGUUGACGGCUGAAGUGAUCUGGUUGCGGUGGUUACUUGAGGAUUUUCGUGUGUCUGCUACUACCUCGACUCCCUUACUGUCAGACAAUACCGGUGCUAUCAGUAUUGCGCGUGACCCGGUGAAGCAUGGGCUCACUAAGCACAUCGGUGUGGAUGUCCACUUUGUGCGUGCUGCUGUGCAGGAUCAGACUCUCGCUCUCCACUAUGUGCCCACUGAGUCACAGUUGGCGGACUUCUUCACGAAGGCACAGACUCGAGCGCAGCANNNNNNNNNNNNNNNNNNNNNNNNNNNNNNNNNNNNNNNNNNNNNNNNNNNNNNNNNNNNNNNNNNNNNNNNNNNNNNNNNNNNNNNNNNNNNNNNNNNNNNNNNNNNNNNNNNNNNNNNNNNNNNNNNNNNNNNNNNNNNNNNNNNNNNNNNNNNNNNNNNNNNNNNNNNNNNNNNNNNNNNNNNNNNNNNNNNNNNNNNNNNNNNNNNNNNNNNNNNNNNNNNNNNNNNNNNNNNNNNNNNNNNNNNNNNNNNNNNNNNNNNNNNNNNNNNNNNNNNNNNNNNNNNNNNNNNCCCCAUUGUAUAAGGGGUUUUCUGCAUUUUACCACACAUGUAUAUGUAAUGGCCUUUGACCCUCCGUAAAUACUAGUUGUUGUUUAUCCAACAAAUGUCAUGUCCGGUACGGACUAGGAGCAGUCACCGAUACCGACUAGGUAUUGUAAUAGGCUACGUUAGCUAAUAUAAAUACCCGGGUAGCCCUACGUUGUAAUAUCAGAUCGAAAAGCAAUAAACACAUAGGACCGACACGGUCCUAUUAGCCAUCAAUCUCAAGUUCUCGUGUGCGUGUCUUGCAUAGCCAGACGUCUCGCCGGAUUGUUUCUGGUGUGCCUGGUUAGCUACGGCUGCUGCGUACGUGCGCGUCUCCGCGGAAAGUACUCGUCGGAGUUAGUAAGUACGGGACCAAGGCCAACACUAUUAACAAUGCCAAGAGGCCAAAGUUACAGAUUCAACGGUCUCCCAUGAAUAAGAAGAGAAAACCAAUGAUAAAAGCAUACUGUAAAUUUUUAGAAAUGCUGAAUAAAUUGUGGCAUGCACAUUUUAAAACAUGCUAGUUUGUGUUCUUCGCAAAGAAAAGAAAAAAGAACAAGAGUUACUUAGUGCCUAGAGUCGCAACUUCUUUUGUGCAGUUAAUUUGUCCAUUUUCCACAGGCCUCACGAAUACAUUUGUUUGCAUCAAGCUUAAAAUCUGCACAUGAUACUUUAGUCAUGUGUAUGUAUGAUCUCCUGGGACUUGAAAAAACAGAAGAAGAAAAAUACAGCCAGGCGCCCAAGCUCACCUAGUAGUUUCCGGCUACACGGCGCCAGAGACAGAGGCCCAAAGAAAGGCUGAUUGCUCCAGCAAACGGCUGUAAGCUGCUCCACCGACCCUAAAACGAACCACGGGCUGGAAGUGUCCUGCUUUUUUCUUUCUUUCUUUCUUUCUUUAAAACGGAUGUGUCCUGCUUCUGGUGUGUGGUCAAUUGGAGACGCUUCAGCAUAGCAACUUAUCUUCGAUGUGUUUUGGUGCUGCAAAACACCACUGAGUGACCCAGUAGCUGUGAUUAUGGGGUUCCUUGAUGGAACUGAAGUUACCCUGAAGGCAUGUGAUUGCUGAAAAUGUCUUGCCCAUUUCUCACGAAUUUGUUGGCAGUAGCACACUCUGCUACUGUUUUUUUGCUUCAAACUUUUUUGCCAGUCUCUAUGUUUUGAACCUACCUUACGACUUUGCUAGUUCCAUGGAGGAUCUGAGACGAUGAAUAAUAACAUGGCAAAAACAUAUGGACCGACCAAGUGGCACAUUUUGACACCAACCUCGGUGUUAUCCCAGAGAGAAACGAACAGAACACACCAGCAUUUGGCAAUGACCAUAAGAUCAACCCUUGAUGCAAUGAUAUACUUGUGGCGAACUUGCAAUCAAGAAUUGGACCAGCAUGUCAAUGGACCUCUUGUAGUCUUGUAUACAUACAUAUAUUGCAUAGUCCAAAACGGAUGAACACCAGCUGAGGUCCAACAUUUGCCACAGGUUGGCAUUGACUGUUACACAUGUCACAAAGGUAAUCACAAAAUUCCGGGUACAAUUGAUCCUCUCCUGAUGCGGCGCCGGUCACAAAGAGCAAAACGGUAAAACAAAUGGAACAGCACAAUACAUAUGAGCAAAUACAUAUCACUUUCUAUCUAGCCAGUUUCCUCCACACGGUGCGACCACGGUUGAUCUCGUCCCCAGCCCC
rnacentral:lncRNA from 1 species